rnacentral:lncRNA from 1 species
GUGGAGGUGGAGUAGGAGAAAGAUUAGGUCAUGGUGAUGGUUUUGGUAUAGGUGGAGACGUAGGUGGGGAGGGGGGUAAGGGGAGGAUUAGGAGGAGGAAAAGGAGUAGGAGGGGGAUUAGGAGGUGGAUAUAGCGAAUGAAUUGGAGUUGGAAUUGAAAUCGAUAUAGGAGUUGGUGUUGGAGCUAGAGCUGGCUAGGGUGUUGAAGUAGGGAGCGGGUCUGAUAGUGGGUUCGAUAGAAGUGGUGGUGGUAAUGGCCGAUGAUAAAUCUCUCGUGGCCUUAUAGCUACACUUCAAUAGUGCCAAGAUACGUAUGUUGCUUUCGAUGUUAAAGUUGUUAAGCUACAACUACUAAUUAAACAAAAAUUGUAUAAUUUUGCUUUUGUUUGCAUUGUAUUUUCCCUAAUUUUCUAUGUAUCAUCCUAAGAUUAUGAAAAGAAGAAUCUAUUAAGUUAUUCAUUUUGCACCCAAAUUCAUGGCAUGUUUCUUCUGGAUGCUUUAAUGAACAAUAAUCAACACUUGGUGUUGUCAAUUCAAUAACAAGCGUUCCCGUAAAUGAGUAUUUUUCCCCCUCAAAAUCAAUUACCCGAAGCAACUUUAAAUAUGCUCGAGUUAAUUAUUCUGUUCUUUGAAAUUCGAAAUGUAGCUAUAUUCACAAUGCAAGUAACUAAAGACGUAUUUUCAGAAUGAAGCAUCAGUGACCCAUCAAAAAUUUUUACUAAGAGAAUUCUAAAUAUAAAAAAAAUAAAUUUAAAAAGAAAUUAAAGGAAUUUAAUAUCCAUAGUAUAUAUAAAAAUGAAUUGACAUUUUAAUCCCUGGGUAUGUAGAAAAUGAUUUCAUCGUGAUGUGGAAAAAUUGGAGGUGACAAGUGAGGCUAGUGCAAGCUAUUUUUGGAGGUGCACGUACCUCCAAAAAUACUUAACUAAUUUGAUCUGGAGACCAAAAUCUUGGUGGAAAAAUUGGUUAAAGGGAAACAUAAGCGUGGAGUAAUUGCGUCUUGUAGGAGGGCCGCAUGACGACGCCCCCACAUCAUUGUUCUUCUUAGUAAAAACUACACGGAGCUGUUGUAAGAUGUGUAUAAUUUUAAGACAAAGUAGUGUAUAUUUUGUCUAUUUCAUUAGUAAAUGUAAUUAUUUUGAUCGGCUUCCUUGUUUAAUUACUUUUUCGUCUUUUGGCUAUAAAAUAUAUAAUUAGUAUGAACAAAGAGUAGUUUGAUGACCACAUGUUUUUCAAACAAAAUCAAAAGUUACUCAAAGUGAGAUGUUUUUACAAAUUUAGUGAUUAUAGUGUUCAGAAAAAUUUCAAAAUCAAUUACUUUCAUCAGAUAUUUCUACAAAUUUAAUGACUAUUUGAGGAAUAAAUUAUAAAUAUUUUUUCAGAAAAAUUUCCAAAAUAAUUACUUUAAUGGGAUAUCUUUAUAAAUUUAAUGACUAUUUGAGGAAUAAAUUUUCAAUAUUUUUUCAGAAAAAAUUCCAAAGUAAUUACUUUAAUGGGAUAUCUCGAGAAGUUUAAUGACUAUUUGAGAAAUUAACUUUAAAUAUUUUUUCAGAAAUAUUUCAAAAUAAAUCACUUUAAUGGAAUAUCUCUACAAAUUUAAUGACUAUUUACAGAAUUAACUUUAAAUAUAUUUUCCGACUCCAGUAAUGAUUGAUUUGCUUCACUUCAUAUCCAAUACUCAUACUCCUAUUGAUUUAGCCCAAUAAUUUUGGUUCACAAUAUCCGAAUCCAAAUAAUAUGAUAAUGCACUAUUUUAGUACCGAAAUGAGUGUUAAUAGGGAAUUUGGUUUUGCACCUUCUAACAUCUCUUCUUCAUGCUUUUUCAUCAUGAUUUAAUUUCUUCGAGAAUGCUCACCUCAUCAACUCUUCCCCUUAACAAUGAGCAUUGAUAUGGAAUGGAUGCAAAAAGAGGAGUCUAGAGCCAAUAGGACAACUUUUUUCAACAAAAAUUUCAAAAAGGCAAUAAAAUUUGAAAGAGACCAAGGGGGUAAAACCUUCUUGCAUUUGUUAAUGGAUGUCGUUUGGUACCUUUUUUUUUUUAUUUAGCAAGGCAUGUGAAUUCACACGACUUGAUGGUUUAUUCCCUCCAAUAAGUUGUAUGAUCCUUUACUACUAGGUAGAAGGUGGAAUAACACCUGAAAGUCAAAUAGCACCUGUUGAGCAUAUAUCUCCCAAUCUAGUUGCUCAACAGGUGUUGUUCCACCUUCUACCUCGUCUUGAAGAGAUACAACUUAUUAAAGAGGAUAAAACAUUAAUUCGUGUGACUUCACACACCUUAAAUCAAAUUCUUUUGAUCCAAGGCAUCUGAAGCCGCACAAUUUGCUAAAGAAAAAAAAAGCUACCAAACGACAUCCAUUAACAGAUGCAAUAAGAAGACUUUUCCCCUUUGAUAUCUUUUAAAUGUUAGUAGACUUUUGGAUCUUUUAUUGAAAACAGUUAUCUUUUUGGUUCUGAACUCCAGAAAGAGAGGCCAUACCUUCUCUUCUCAAGGAGGAAGUGGAAAAGAAAGGGUUGGUUGCAUAUUUUUCGAGAGUAAUGCCUUCUUUCUCUAUUUCUGAGGACUCAGGUUUGAAAGUGAGGAGUGCUUCUAAUUCGAACAACUCCCCCUCCCUCUAUGUAUGCAUGCAUGUAUGUAUGUAUGUAUGCAUGGAUGUAUGUAUGUAUGCAUAUAUGUAUGUAUGCAUGGAUGUAUGUAUGUGUGUAUAUAUGUAUUGGGUGACCCCUGAUGUGGCAUGCCACAUUAGAUUAUAGUGAAAAACCUGAAGAAUUCAGUCUAAUUCAUUUAUGAGUUAAUAUAGUUGGAUGCGUUAAAUUUCAACACAUAUCACAAAGCCAAAUACAUAAAAAGGUUAAACAGGAAUAUACCUUCAACAAUCAUUGUCCAAGUAUCAGAAAAAAUAAUUUGAGAGAGAAUUUAUAACAAGCAUAGGGGUCUUUCGUUUUAUCUAAUUUAGGUGUGAUCCAUUUUAAUUAAUCAAAAGGAGGAAAAUAUGUACAAAAGGUCUUAAGUGAGCCCAAAACAAAAAUGAAAUAGAAAAAAAAAUUACCCAAUCAACCAACGAACCUUGUCAAAAUAUAAACCUCGUUCUAAGAUAGGGUUUUCAAAUUAUGCUCUCAGCCGCUUCUUCUUCUAAUGGCGCCGCUGAAAGCAUUCUUCAACCGUGAUUUUCAUUUGCUUGUUCUUAGGGUCAUUAAUCUUAUUUGAGAUGAAAAUAAUGAAGAGCUUAGUAUAUUCAACUAGCAAAGGUACCUUUUUGUCAAAUAUCCAAUGUCUCGUGUUGUGAGCCUUAUAUCUAACCGUUUUUCAAAUGUAACUGUAGAUGUGUUAUCUAGUGGAGUAAAAGGAUCCUUGGUGGAUUUGAUAGAGGUGUUGUGUCUUGUUUGUCGAUUCUGGAAAACUUAUAUGUAGAAUGGCCUCUUGUUAUCCUCUUUUUGCUUUGUUAGGUUAGUACCCUGUUCCUCCCCAGCUCAAGCAGUAGAGGGGAUAAACAUUAUGCCCCAGAGCUCUUUUAUUGUGUUUUCCAUAGAUCUAUCUUAUUUGACUCCAAAGCCCUCGAUUUUUGCUCGUAACUUUUUUUGUAAACUGAUGUAGCUUAGGCUAUGUAGCUUAGUACUCACAGUUGUAAUGCCCUAUGGAUGGCGAAAACUUCUUCUGUAUAUAACUUAACUAUGAGAUCUCGAUGUGUGUACUUUAGCUCUGUUCAUGUUGGAUGAUGUUUAUCUAACUUUCUUUAUAUUGGAUGAUUUUUAUCUUUCUUGGGUUGAUUCUCAGUAAUGAUAUUUGCUUAUUCGUGUUUAGAAUUUUCUUGCAUUCUACUAGUAACUGUUGAAACUCAUAUGCCUGAGAGAACUCUCCAUUCCCUAUUGUUAUGUUUGCUAUCCUGUCUGUUAACUAAUUUGCUUCUUUACAGAUGUGUAUGAUGGUCACUUGCAUGUCACUUUUUAAUCACUGCACUUUCUCAAUUUACUCCACGAUCUACCAAGGUAUCCUCUAAUUCUUCAUUAUCAUUUCCUUAGGCUGAAGAAAUCAGUCUCCAAGAUUAUAUGAUGAAGGUUGCUCUGCUUACACUGUCUUAAAGCCCUUAACAUUGUCAUUGUUUUUGCUUCCAUAUUGAUAAUGAUUCCUAGAAUUUGCCUCUGUGUAUAUCAAAUUCCCUCUAUAAUCUCUAGUGUAAAAAACAUAGGAUAUUUCACCACAAUUGCCUCUAUUAGCCCCAACUGUAUUAUGCUCGACACAACAUGUAUCUAGAAAUGUCUGCUUAACCGGGUAAUAGUGUAAUUUGGGCUUGUACCUAUGCAACAUUCUUACCACCACCACCACAACCACCCUAAAAUUUAGGCACCUCUAUCCAUAAAAAGUUGAACUUUAUGAAAUAAAAUAUAGUUACUUGACUUUGAUGAAUAAGUCUUUCACAACUAUAUGCUUUAUCAUGUUUUCUAGAGUUCCACCUUUUCCACAUCUUCGACAUAAGUUUUGGUGGUAUGACCUUGUAAACGAGCUUUAGCUUCGAGGGGACUGAGGCAUUCCACUACCUUAUAAUCAAUUGUUGUAGAUGUGCAUUUUCAACUCCUAUCCCUGAACAUUAAACAAAAUGCUUCCAUAACCUUUGGGAUAUAGAAGCUAUUAGAAAAAAGGUGAGACAUUAUCUCCUGGUCAAAUACAUCACAAUAAUAACAUCUAGAGGCUAGGUUUAUCCUCAUCCUUCUGAGAUUAUCCUUGAUUGUAAUACUUCUUUUCCACAGCCUCCAGUGGAAGAAAUUAAUCUAAAAUGGCAAGCCGUUAAUCCAUAUAUUAUUUAACCAUUCCUAUUUUUCCCUCCUUGCUCUUAUGAUUUUGUAGACUAAUCUCACUAAAAACUAACCACUAUUAUCAACUAUUCACCAAGGUUUAUCAUUAACAUCCUCCACUAGAUUAGGGCUUAUGUUUAUAGUGAUAUGAUUUGUCAUUUCUUCUCGCGAAUGGAACCCUGAUGAAUUAACAAAGUACACUAAAUACAAAGUUAUUCUAGAGCGGCGUUCUUGCAUGUAUUGAAACUUUCUUUGUUUGAUUGCUUUCUCAAUAGUUGUAAAUAUUAAGAACUCGCCUGUAUUCAAUACUUUCUUGAGAGAGAGGUGGAUAUUAGGUAAAAGAUAUUACAACAAUAAUUUAAAGCUAUCAACCUUAAUCCAAUUAACUUGAGACCGAGUAGAGAUAGUUAAUCUGUGAUCAUAAAACAAGGGUUAGUGAUGUGGCGCUCUGAGACCUAGAGAAGAUGAGUAAAAUUUACUCAAACCAAAGUCAAGAGACGGUUAGGUGAUACAUAACUUGUUAGAUUUUACACAAGGCACCAAGAUAGUUUGAUAAACACGAACAAUAUGUGAAGUCAUAAAGUCAAGGUAAACACAAUCCUAGUGAAUGUCUUAUACUGAUAACAACCCUAAUUACCGAACAUUUUUAUUGUUACACUAUUAUUAUAAAACCCUUAUUUUACUUUACACAUUUUCCAACCGUAUCAGCAAGCUCUUGAUAGAUUUUUGACCUAUUUCUUAUGAGAUCGAGCAUAACCUAGUUGGGUUAUAUAUUUAAUUAACGACUGUUUUAUACUUUCUUGGAGGUAUAAUUUGGGAAACAUCAUUCGUACCCAUCGAUGAUUAUGUGUCUUGGUACGUUUAUAUUGGUUGUUGUGUUCCUUAGUGUAGGGUUCAUAAUUAUAUGACUACCCCGUAGAUGAUUUCUUUUUGUAGUGGAUAGAGUGGAUCAAUAUUGAUAUUUUUCUUAGGAGUGUAGUAUUUGGGUUUGAGUCCCAUUUACCUUGGCAUAUUGGCCUCGUUAUGGCCUUAGGGUGGUACUUGUUAAUGAUUUUUAUUUUUGGUACCAUAUACACUUUACACUAAUGGUUAUAUUGUUGUUGUUAUUAUUUUCAUUGUUUGAUGUUGACCGAUCCUCACUUUGUAGAUGGCUAGACUAGCAUUAUCUAGUUAGAAUUUCCCUUCCUCGAUCUUCCUAUUUGUUGAUGUAGGCGUCUAGCUCGAUUGGAUGGUUUUUCUCUUCUAGAGGGGCGAGAUUGGCCAUUCGCCUAUUUUGUUGGCGAUGCUAUAUCGAUAGUUGAGUGAGCUAUGGCAGUGAAGGUAAGUUGGCCUUCUAUGGUUUUGUUGUUGAUCUAGAGUUGGCAAUUUGGUUUUAUCUCCCAUUCUCAGAUUGAGAUUAUAGGGCCUGCCUUUUGGUUUUCUGAGAUCCUAGUAUUAGUUUUUCUUAUUUAUAGCCCAUUUCUGAAGUUGACCAGUUUGGGAUCCAUUCUUUCGAUUUGGUUGUUUCAUCACAUAGUAGUAGUAUUGGUGUUGAUUCUAAGAGGUCUUGGCUUGGAUUUCAAGUUUGUUAGGUUUGCCUUAUGGUGAUAGCUUGGAUUUUGGUGAUGUGUGGAGUAUAAUCUCAUGUUGGGGAAAGGUGUCAUACUCUUUCCAAGGAGUAUAACUUAAUCUAAGUAAUCAUAUCUAUAACUGUCAUCCAUAUAGAAAUGGAAAUAAUUUGAAUAAUAUGUACCUACAUUGGCUCGUAGUUCUGGGGCAUGUAAACAUACUCAACUAGAUGUUAAAUACUACUCCCUUUAAAUCUGUAUGCUCAUUCUAUUGGAAAUCCACUUUAAAACUAGCAUAAGGGUUUACAAUGAAAACCAGUUACACAUCUAUUUACUUUUAAUUGUAAUCAAAACUGAAUUCAAAACCGUGAAGUGGAUUUCAUAUCUUAACUGAGGAUCAAAAGACCAAAUCUUUUCUAAAAAAUCUGAAUGUAAACUAAUCAUGGGAUGCUUAAAGGAAUCGUCUUCUUGAAAUAUCAAUACUCAUAGUUAGGGCUUAAGACCCAUGAUCAAACUUUCUCCAUGGCUUCAAACACCAUGUUUGGACCAAUCAAAGCGGGCUCACCCACUUCAAACCAACCGAUGGGUGACCUAUAGCUUCGCCUAUAAAGAGCUUCAAACGGGGCCAUCUGAAUGUUAGAAUGGUAACUGUUGUUGUAGGCAAACUCAAUCAACGACAAGUGGUCAUCCCAACUGCCUUUGAAAUCAAGAACAUAUGCCCUCAACAUGUCCUCCAAUUUGACAUAAGUUUGAUCAUGGGUUUUAAGCCCUAAGCAUGAGUAUUGAUAUUUUAAGAAGAUGAUGCCUUUAAGUAUCCCAUGAUUAGUUUACAUUCAGAUUUUUUAGAAAAGAUUUGAUCUUUUGAUCCUUAGCUAAAAUAUGGAAUACACUUCACAGUUUUAAAUUCAGUUUUGAUUAUAGUUUAAAGUAAAUAGAUGCAUAACUGGUUUUUAUAGUAAAACCUUAUACUGGUUUUAAAGUGGAUUUCCUACAUAAUGGGCAUACAGAUUUAAAGGGAGUAGUAUUUAGCACCGAGUUAGGUAUGUUUACAUACCCCAGAAUUACGAGCCAAUGUAGGUACAGAUUAUUCUCAUUUCUAUAUGGAUGACAGUUACAGAUGUGAUCACUUAGAUUAGGUUAUACUCAUUGGCAAGAGUAUGACACCUCUCUCCAACAUGGAGUUUUUCCAUAAGAGAACUAGACGUUGGACACUAUGAUAGCUCACAUAGUGUAUGUCAGUUAGAAGAACCUCCCUAAUAGUAAAGCUUUACAGAAUAGUUUUUAAAAGAAUUUCCUACAGAACAGAGUAAUUGUAAUUGGAAAGAACAACAAAAAAUAUCUUACAAAAUAAGUGUAAAGGCUCAUGAUUUUAAUCAGAUAUUGUUUUGCAUAAGUCAUUAGAUAUGAGAUUUCAGUUUUUAGUUUACAGAUACAAAGGUGAGUCCCUUUACACUUAGCUUAAAUGAUUUGAAAAUGGACUUGACUUUAGUCCUACUUUUUUCACUAGCAGAUAGAGUAAAAGUACAGUUUUCAGAACUAAAUAUUAUGACUCACUAGAUUUAUGCAGUAUGUUUUGAUAUUCAUGGUUAUGAUUUCUUUCAGUUUUCAGAUAUUCCAGCUUAUGUGAGUCAUCUACAUUUAGCAUGCAUAUUUUAUAAAUUUUGAUGACAUUGAGAUAUUAUUUCUACUUAUGCAUUCACCCCACAUGCUCAGUACAUUCCAAAAUUAUUGAUCCACAUAUAUGUAUAUGUGCUACAUUGUCUCAUAAUGUAGGUUCAGUUGCUCAGUUCCAGCAGUGUGAUUGACCGUGAGCAUCUCUAUCUAUAUCUCGAUGGAGGUGAGUCCUCAUAGUUUGGGGACCCAAUUAUUCAAAUUUCCAGCUUUCCAGAUUAGUUUAUUCAGUUAAGCCAAACAGUUCGAGUUAGCUACGGGGGUCUGUCCCAACGACUCUCUAGUAGUAGCAUUAGAGGCUUGUCCGUCUAUUAGAUACAUUUUAGCUUUUCAGUGUUAGUUCUUCAGAUUUUCUUAGUUAAGUAUUUUCAGACAUCAUCUGCAGAUAAACUUAGAUUAAUUCAGACAAUAUUUCAGUAUUUUCUCAUACCGCAUGCUUAUAUAACCUUAUUUGAGUCAUCAGAAUGAGUAACAGGCUUUCAGGGUUAGCUCGGGACUACUUAUAGUUUGGAGCACCGUGUGGCAUCUCGGGACUCAUUUUUGGGGCAUUACACUACUUUAGUGUGUUGACAAGAUUGAGAAGCUCAGAUAUUGAAGAAGUUAUGGCAUUAUUUCGCUGGAGUUGGUAGGUGUUGAACCCUAGCUUUUGAAAGUGAAGAUCGAUUCACCACAAGUUUAAUGAUUUAUGACAUUCUAAAGAAGAAGCUAGGUGUUCUCGAAUCCAAAAUCGGGUGAGGAUUUGGAGGUAGGCCAACUAGACAUUAAUAUUAUUGAGAUUUGGAUUUGAGGAGUUAUGUAUUUGCACUCUUUCGGAGACCUUAGGAGAGCGUCUUUAAAUGGUUACAGAAAAAUUAUCAUAGUUUGAAUAUCGAAAAAUUAUUCUGAAAUAGUGAAGAGACUGAACCCUAAUACAGGGUUGCCUAUGUAUCUUAUCAGGACAAGAAUCAGGUUAAAAUGUAGUUCAAACAACUUAUGAGUUUGUAUAUAGCAUGAUCUGUUUCUAGAAUAGAAAUUUUCCUAAAUGCUUGAGAGUAGGACUGAAUAAUUUUGAGAAGACAUGCUAACCUAAAUGCACCAACUUUGAAACUAUGAAAUUCAAAAAAGGAUUGGAGGAGUGUGAGACACCCCCCCACCCCCCACGUGAACCAUAGUGUGUGAAGUGUAUAAGUAAAGAGUUAAUGGAAUCAUGAUUAUGAUUAAAUGAAGUGAAAAUGAUGUGUAGCUGUUUUCACAAUAUACAUAUAUAAUGUAUUAAACAAGUAAUCAAUAAAAUAAUUAAGAUCGCAAAACUAAUUUAAUGUAAAGAAUUUAUGAGAGAAUACACGCAAUUUGCAGUGUGAAACAGGUAAAUAAUUUAAUAAUUUACAUAUGAAAAAAAAGUAAAGAUACCUCCUUCAAUUGAAAAAUUGAGUUUAUCAUGGUUGGAACCUACUGUUAAUCCCCAGUAGAGUCGUCAUUCUGUCAUGCCUUAUUUUUACCAAAGUUAAACAAAAUAUGACUUAUGAACUCUAAAAGAAUUGAAUUUUUAUACAAAGUCGCCACCUAAUUUUUAAAGGAUAAUAGAAAAACCUAUUUAUUUAUUAACAUGUAUGACUAAUGUUUUUUAGUCUGGAAAAAACCAAUUGAGAUUCUAGGUAAGGGUUUAAAUUAUUCUGAAGGGAAGGGGUUAGACACCCUUCAAAAUCCAUAAAUGUAGUACUCGGCUAGACUAAAUUUAUCAAAGAGGAAGGAGGUAUAAAUAUUUAAAAGACGUAUAUGUAUUAAGUAUAAAUAAAACUUAUUGUUAUGAAAAUAUGUAAAAGGUAUGAAUGAAAAUGUACAAAUUACAUGUGAAAAGGAAAAGUACUUUGUGACAUAUGAAAAGAAAAGUAUCUUUCAUGUACUAUAAAAGGAAAAAGUAUUUUGAAAAUAAUAUUACCAAUUUGACUAAAAUUACGGAGAGAAAAGUAAAGGUUUUACUUGAAAAAAAAAGACUACACAAUGUUCAUGAUGUAAAUGUGUGAAUUAGUUGAUUAAUUUAACUCGUUUUAUGUAAGCGGUAUAAGUUUACCUAAACAUGCAUUAAUGAAUAUGUAAGUAAACAAUGUCCACACCUGACACCCCAAAAGCAAAGUUUUCACUAUAUUUUUUUUAUCUUUAUGUACAAUUAUACAAAUGAGAAAUAAAAGAUAAGCAUAAAGCUUGGGACUCCCUUUUCAAGUAGCACCUCAAAAUGUGUUACCGAGAACAUGUACAUUUACUUGAUGGAAGUAUUAAAAAUAAAUAAAUUAUUAUUAAAUAAAAUGAAUCAUGUGUACAAGUACGUAUAUGUAUGUAUAGAUAAAAAAGAAUUUUGUUAUAAAAUGGGAUCGAAUUGAGUUUUAGAUGCAUCAUGGCUACGAAAUGGUUGCUCGAUUUAUCGGUCAUCCUAAAUCGUCUUGCCAAGAUACGAAUCGUAAAACCCUUUGUGUUGUCGUGAUAUUGUAAAGACUUCAUUGUAUUUAUAUACGUAAUGUCCGUCUUUUAUUAGUGGAGGCCUCGAAAACCGACAGGAGUUUCUUCAUUAACUAUGUAUUUAUUUUUGUCACGUAUUUGUAUACGUAAUAUCCAUCUUUUGUUAUGAGUUGGCCUCAAAAAUCCGAUGGAGAGAUAUUGUCAUUGGACAAAAUAGUAUAGUAUUGUUCGUUAUCAGUGUAAUAAAAUGUAAAGGAGAAAAAGAUCCAAAAAUUAGUUCCAGAAAGAACAAAACAAUAGCGAAUCAAUUGAAACUAGAAGAUCAUGAAUCAAUUUGCCGGAGUAAAAUUUUUACAUCAAAGAUAAAUAUGAAAUUAACAAACUAAUGUAACAUGACAAUCCAAGAAGUAGCAAAACAGUCAGCAAAAUCAACCAAAAUUAAAGUUAAAAUAUUUAUCAGAGAAGAUAAAGAUCUCGUUUCUAAAUUCAAUCCCAUUGAAAGAUAUCAAAUAAUUGUAAAAGGAAUCAAGAAGGUUGCUUCCACGGCGAGCAUGUCGAAGAAACACGUGAGACAUGAAGAAUACAAUCAAAAUUGACCAUUUUUGGCGAGUUGUGGCUGUGUAGUGUCUUGGAGCUCACUGGUGAUCAAUUUCGUCUAGGUAGCGAUGAGGAAAAAGAAAGAGUACUUGAUCGGGGGGUGUUGUUCGUCGAUCGUCUGGUGGUCAAAUCCGGUGAUGGCAGUGAAGGUGGGGGUGGCGCAUGGUGGUGCAGCUAGUGGCUGGAACUUUCUGGCCAUCAACUCCAGCGAGCCAGCAACGGUAAAGGAGCAGCGAAGAUAGGAAAGAAAGAGAAGUAGUAAUGGCUGGAGCUCGUUCGUCGGAGCUCUGAUAGUUGGUUGUUCUUGUGUGUAUGCAUGUGAUUGUGUGUUUUUGACAUAAAGUGAGGGGUGACUAAUUUUUAAGUGUGUGUAUAUUCUGUGUAGUCCAUUAGAGCUCUGAUGGUGGAGGGACAGCAAUGAGAGUAGCCAUAGAAGUUAAAAUGGUGAAAAUGAGAGGAAAUGAGGCAUGUGAAUGAGAGAAAAGAAAAAAAAAGAAUAAGAUUUUGUGUGUAUUUGUGAAUGUACAAAAUUCACCCCUCCUACUUAUUUAUAAUAAAGAUUGGCACUUUUUAUUACCCAAAAGAUAAAAAGAUGUUCUCUAAAAAGAUGUCCCCUCUUUUUCUUUUUGGACACCCUUUGAUCCUUAAGCUACUGACCAGAGGAUUUUCAUCCUUUUAAUCCACGGGCAAAGUUAUGAUUCAAAGGAUAGUAUCAUUUUAUAGUCAUUGUCAGAUAUGACAAAACAUUAUUGUAUAGUCGUCGUCGGAUGUGAUAAGACAUUAUCGUGAAGUCUUGUCAGAUAUGAUAAGACACUAAAUUGUUAUGCUGUGUAUUAUAAUAAUUGAUUGGCUUAGCAUUUGUGAAUCAUGUUAAAUAAUGUACAAAAAUAUAAGAAUUGAUAUGUAAUUACAAAAAAUUGUAAAGAAUAUUGAACAUGUAAUUAACUUGAAAAAGUUUAAAAAAUGUGAUGUCAUGUUGUGUACGUGUGUGCAGAUGAUUGUGAAAAUAUUAAAAACGAUAAUGAAUUGGUAAAAAUCAUAAUAUAAAAAAAUUAUCAAUAAAUUAUAAAAAGUAGAAAACAUGACGAUAAAUUGAUAAAAUCCUAAAGUAUGAUUAUCAAAAAUUUGUUAACAAUUGAAAAAAAUAUGUAAAAAUUAUACUCCGUGCUCUUUAAUGAUCAGGAAGUGUGAAGAUGUUAAUUUUAAGCACGGAGAGUCAAAAUUGGGUAUCAACACCUGUGGAGACUAUUGGUAGUCCUAGAGUGUAAAAGUUACCUAUUAGAUCCAGUCGAGGUUCUCUGCUGAAAUAUGUUAUUUUUUUUGCAGAUACGUUGCAGUUAUGAAUUCAAUUUCUUCAGCUCAAUCUUCACUGGUAUAUAGAGGAUUUAGUAACUCUUAAUUUUUAAUUUUGUAAUUUUUCUUCAUAAAUGCAAAAAUUAUAAAGUUAGGGAUCCACACUUAGAUUGUUAUAUUUUGAUUCUACUCUAUUAAACACAAUGCAAUUGCAGGUACCUAUUGAUUCAUGUGUAAUAGGAUCUUAGCUUUCUGUUUUUUUCAGCAGGUAGCAUUUCUAUACCUGCAAGCUUUGGUUUUAAUUCUGUUAUUUCCUAGCACAAGUUAUAUUUUUGGCUCAUCGAUGUAAUGAUGCAUAUCUUGAGACAGGUUUCUUAUGCAACUGGUGGUAUAUAUCUCUGUAAGUGUGAUUCAUAUUGCUAAUACUAAGUUAUCUCUGGUGUAUAUUUUAACUUGUCAAUAGCUUGUAUCCUACACUGAACAUCUAUGAUUGUAUCCAAUGUUGUCUUUAAACAUUAGUUUCAAUCUUAUUUGGAAGCAUGUUGAACAAGUCACUAUACUUUGAUUUGUUUAUCAUAUGUAAGUUUUUAUUUCUGAGGAGCUUACACUAAAAAGGACCUUCCAAAAGUUUCCCUAUUUAAAUUUGAUUUCAAAAUUUUGAUAUGUACUUCUAUCUAUUGUGGUUAAAUAUACAUUGAUCAACCAAGUUAGGGCGAUUUUAAUUCAUGCAAUUAAACGGAUAUGAUUGUUAAGUGAAUAAAUAUUCAUCACAAUUUUUAUUACGUCUGUUGUUAAUAAGUGAAGAUAGUUUUUCCACCACAUAUGCCAACAAAGUAUAUGUGACCUUGAUAUAGAUUACAUAAGAUAUUUGAGGCAAAAGUUUUUCACCAUGUCCAUGGGAGUACAACUUAUUGAAAGAUCUAAUAUUAAUAGCAUUUCAAUAGAGGAAGAGAUGUUUAUGAACCAGAUGAACUUUAAGAAUUUGUUGGAGUCUGAUUAGAUUGUUGACAUACAGUUUAUCUUUUUCUUCUUAGAUUUUGAUUUGCCAUUUCAACACUUAAACAAGAUAGAUAAUUGUAAAUUUCUUUUGAGAAUUCUAGGAAUACGUUGUUACUAUGAGGAAUAAACUUACAAAGAUAGUAAACUAUUUUAGAUGGUACUACAUUUCAUACAAUGUAUGCUCAAAGAAGAUUACACUUGCAAAUGGUGUUUAUUCAUACCACAACUGCAAAAAAGAUUGCAACUUUUCUCUAGUGAAGUAAGGAUCCUGGAAGAACUAUGAAUUUACUUUGUAUUAUGAAUUAAUGUUAACUUAUUUUUACAAACAUAGAUACAGGAUACAGAUACAAAUGGAAAACAAAAUCAAAAAAACUACUUUUGUCUCAUUCAAUGAUAUAGCUGAGAAACUCCUUGAUACAUCAGUUCAUAAGUUGUUCAACAAGCUAUCCUCGUCGUUUAACAAAGAUAUUCUUGUCCUCAUUCAAAGCCUUUAUGGGAAAGAUUUUAUUUUUAAACUUAAAUUGAAUACCUACAAUUUGAAAGAGUGGCUUGAAAAUUUUACUGUAUCAAAGCUUUGAAUUCCAGAUGAAAAUUUUGAGUUAGAGUACAAGCUAAGGGAAGAGAGAAAGAUAUUGCAUUAUAGACUAUUGAAAUUUGCAGUGAACAAUUUCAUAUACUUUGUAAAUCAUCUUUUUUCUUGUUGGUUUUACAUGUGUAGAAUUUGAUAGAGGAUGAAAGUGAGCUAAAAGAUCACGUUUCCAAAGAAUUUCCCACAGAAAAGGUAUCCAGAUUUACUGUUUUAGUUACGGGGCUUCUACGUCUUCGUAAGAUUGUCAUGCUUAAUUCACAUGUUGACAAUUUUGUUUUAUAAAAUAAAUAGAUAUCUCUUGACAUCUUAUUGGAUAAGUUGGAAGAUCUUGAGUAAGCAUUGCAUGUCAUUGAUGGGACAAACUUUAGGAAAAAACAAACCUAAUCAUAGAUGAAGAUGACUUAAUUGAUGAAGACACAAAUAAAUGCAAGAAGUAGAGUGUUUAUUAUUUGUUCUGACUUUUAAUUUUUUUUAAGAUUAGACAAAAUAGUUUGGUCCCUUUUCCCUUUUAUUGACUCUUACCACAAGCAAUAAGAAGAUCAUCAUUAGCAACAACAGCAGCAAGAUUUUCAUUAACGCCUUCUUUAUUUUGUCAUCUUAUUUCUCUCUUAUGCUUGUAAUAAUAUUUCAUGAUAUGCCCCUUUUUGUUGAAGUAGUCACAUGUAACAUUCUUGAAUUUGGACUUCAACUUGCUUCCACUUAUAUCUCUAUCAUUCAGACCUUUGUACUUAUUUCUUCUACUCUCUUCAGUAACCAAAACAUUAGAGUAUGAAGAUGAAGAAGAUAAGGCUUGAGAUUUUCUUCUCAUCUCUUCAUUUAAGACACCACUCUUAGCAUAUUCCAAAGUCGCAAUACCACUAGGAGAAGAAUUAGUCAAAGAAACUCAAAGAAUUUCCCAAGAGUCUGGUAGAGUAUUAAGAAGCCAAAGUCCUUGAAUUUGUUCAUCGAACUUUACACCUAUUUUGUAUAGCUGGUCAAGGACACCCUGAAAAUCCUUUAUAUGAUCAAAAAUAGGACAACCCUUUUAUACCUGAUAUUUAUCAAUUUCUUAAGCAGGAAUAACUUAUUAUUGCCAGUUUUUUAAGCAUAAAAUAUCUCAAGCUUGUCCCACAAACUUCUGGCAUGUGCCUUAUUCACAAUAUGAUUUCUAACAUUAUCUUUAACCCAUUAUUUGAUUUAGCCACAAACCUGCUGGUACUCAAAUUCUCAAUCUUCAUAUGUUAGGGACUGAGGUUUAGUAGACGCAAACACAUGCAAAUGUAUUUUCUUGACAAAUAGAAGAUCUUUCCAAGUAUGAUAUUUACUACCAUUCAAACAUUCUAUUUUGCCCAUAUUUGCCUACAUAAUUCAAAUCGACAAUCAUCAACAACCUAUGCCCCGAUACCACUUUUCUUGGAAAGACAAGGGCAUUAUCAAAGUGCACGACAGGGUAACAGCGGAAGAAUACCCAAGUCUAAACUUUUCCUUUCAAUUUGAACCAAGAAAAAUUAAACUCAUGCACAAUGAUAAUAAGGUAGAAAAUAAAUUAACCAAAUAAAUACGACAAGACAAGAAUAAAACCAAUCACACGAGAUAUCAAAUUUAUGUAGAAAACCUUCAAUGUGAAGAGUAAAAAUCCAUGCGACUAAAACCUUCACUACAAUCACCAAGAGUUACCAUAAUGUCCUCUAAAAUGGCCAUCACAAAAGUUCCAAAUAAUGAGCAACAAUAUAUAAAACACUACACCAAAAACUAGAGAAAUGAAGGAGUAAAAUCACCAAAAAUGCAGCUACUGUUAACAAACUAAAAAUAAGAGCUACAAGUCACCAAAUCCAAAUCCGUCAAUUUAUAAUCAAAGAUUGAGAUGAAAGGAACACGUUGUUUAAAAAUCAGCUCAAAUUGGACAAAAAAUGAAGAAAAAUCACAAUUUGAAGUUCGUUUCUAUGUCUGAAAUUUUAAAAGAAAACCUGCUCUAUUUUUCUCUCUAUGGCUGCUGAAAACUCUUUUGUGGAUGGUGACAUAAGACCUAAAAAGGGUUUAUAUAUAUGCCCGAUAGUAAUGUGUCUGUGGCUAAAAGUGGGUUGGUCUAAAUUGGGCUUUAUUCAUUCACAUAGGAAUGGAAAAAGGCCCAUAACUCAAUAGUGGGAGAAAAGCAGAGUUGACUUUCGUUGAUUGAUAGUCCGGCAAUACACAUUAAACUACUUGAACAUUAUUUUAUAUUUUUGCAACAUUCAACAUUAAUGCCUCACUCCCCAAUAACCUAUGGAGCAAUAGAACCAAUGACAUCAUAGUCAAAUCCUAGUAGAACCCUAAAAAUGCUACUGCUAAAUGUAGUUUUGCUGAUGAGAAACUAAUUGUAAAGGACCAUAUCCUUGGAAGUUAAUGGUACAGUACAGUUGGCACGCGUGACUACACAAUUUUAUCCUCUUGUGUAACAGACUUGCAGGUGCUGCUUGUGCUGAUUAGGACAGCUGGUCUAAUGAUAUUUCAACCUCAAUCAUCACUCAUCUAUAAAAGAAAAGUGACGUUUUUUUAUCAAGUGAUUUUUGGCAAAUUAGAAAGAAUGAAGAGAGGCAGCAAAAACCUCAUUUCAACACUGCUCAAGUUCUUAGCUAAUUAUGUGUGCUUAAAUAGAAAUUGUUCUUGAGUGAGUACUGAUUUGUAACUGAACUACUCAUGCUAUAAAAGUAGUGUUUUCGUUUGUUGAGAGAAGUGCUUAGUUAAAGUUGCCUAAGUUUGAUACUGAUUAGAGUUAAUCAGUGAAGAGAGUCCUUAGCAGAGUUGCCAAGAUGAGCUUGUAGUAGAGUUAUUACAUACGAAAGGAACCUAGAGUUAGUUUUAUUGAAGGUUGUAAUCAAGAGUUUGAUUAUAGUGGAUUUGGAGGUUCUUGUGAGGGCAAGUCAUGGUUUUUCCUUUCCUUAAGCAAGGGGGUUUUCACGUUAAAUUUUGUGUGUUGUUACCUUCUUAUACUGCCUUAAAUUUUUAGCACCUCAUAGUUGAUUUACUAUUAUAUCGCUUGUGAUUGACUUUGAGGGACCUGGUCCCUCACUGUGUGGUGCAACCCUCAAGGGUUCUAACAAUUGGUAUCAGAGCAGGUUCACACUAAAAGGUUCAUACCUAGAGUAUUCUGGUCAUCAUGGCUGUUAUAAUUGAACUAUAGGUGGAAACAAAGAAAGCAAAAAGAGAGAUAUUUCUGACCUUAAAGGCUUUAGAGACUGAUCCAGGUGAAGAAGAUGUUGAUGUUGCACUUUUGGCAACAAGAAUUAUUAGAGAUAUAAAAAGGGGUGGUCAUCUUAGCAAAAGAAAUAAUAAUAUUGAAUGUUGUCACAAAGAUGGUAGCUCUGAGGCAUUCAUAAGAAACAACCAAAUGCAAAAGAAUGAUCAAAAUUCUGAAAAAUCAAGAAGAAAGGAUGCAGCUAGCUGUAUAAUAAAGAAGGCAUUAGCUGAAUGGGAAAACUCCUCAAACAAAUCUGAGAAAGACAAAGAGGAUGGAGAUAGUUUUAUGCUGAAAUAUGGUGAGAAGAAAAUAAUCUCAGGAUCCUGUAGCUCUCUAAUGGCCACUGCUGAAGAUAGAGAAGAAAAUAUGGCAGAAAAGAGGGAUGACAACCAAAAAUAUUUUAUGGAUAGUGGUUGUUCUAGAUAUAUGAUUGGGAGGGUUGAUUGUUUUCUCUCUCUCUCAAGGCACUUCAAUAGGGAGUUGUGUCUUUUGGAAAUAGCAAAAAGGGUUACAUCCAAGGUGUUUGAAAGAUUGGGAAAAUCACUUCAUCAUGUAAUAAAAGAUUUGUAUUAUGUGAAUUGGCUGAAGUACAGUCUUCUAAGUGUAUCUCAAAUCCAUGACAAAGAAAAUGAGGUAAAAUUCUCAUCUGAUGGGUGCACUGUAUUAACCAUGAAAUUUGAAAAGAUUAUUCUCAAAGUCAAAAGGAUCAAGAAUAUGUAUAUAGUUGAUCUGGAGUCUGUGGCUGAUGGGAAAUUAAUUUGUUUAAGUGAACACGGUGAAGAUGCUAAUUUGUGGCAUGAAAGAUUAGGGCAUGUAAGUUUCUCCUUGUUAAACAAGAUGAUUUAAAGGGACCUAGUUCAUAAUUUUCCAGACAAUAAAGUCUGUAAUGCUUGUGUUAAAGGUAAACAGACAAGAUCCUCCUUCAAAUUAAAGAAAUAAGUAAGUACUUCCAGACCUCUUGAAAUACUACAUAUAGAUUUAUGUGGACCUAUGAAAGUAAAAAGUAGAGGAGGGAAGAAAUAUGUGUUGGUUAUUGUAGAUGACUACUCCAAAUUCAACUGGACAAUGUUUAUAAGAACUAAGAAUGAAACAUAUGGGGUUCUUGUGGCUUUUGCUAAGAAAAUCUAAGUGAAAUUAAAUUGCAAAAUUGCUGAAUUUAGGUUUGACCAUGGUACUGAAUUUGAGAAUUCUCAAGUGCAUCAAUUCUGUACUAAGCAUAGAAUAAGUCACAACUUUUCUACUCCUAAAACUCCACAACAAAAUGGAGUUAUUGAAAGGAAAAAUAGAAUAUUGAUAGAUACUACUAGGACUAUGCUAACUGAUAGUGGACUUCCAAAGAGUUUCUGGACCAAAGCAGUAAAUACUGCUUGUUAUAUGACUGACAGGUGUGUGAUAAGAUCACUUCUGAAUAAGGCUCCAUAUGAGCUGGUAUCAAUAGAAAUCUUAAGCUAGACUAUUUCAGACCAUUUGGAUGCAAAUACUUUAUGCUAAACAAUGAGAAGAGAGAGUUGGAAAAAUUUGAUUCCAAGAGUGAUGAAGCAGUAUUUGUAGGCUACUCUUCAACAAUCAAGGUUUACAAAUCUUCAAUAAAAGAACUCUAUGUGUUGAAGAAAGUAUUUAUGUGAUCUUUGAUGAUUCUAGAAAUAAAAUGAACCCAGGUGAUGGUGAAGAUUCAGAAGUUGAAGAACUCAUUUCUAUUCAAAGGGAUAAUACUGCAGAAGAUGAUAAUUAAGGGAUAAAUGAUGCAGAUGAGAGUGAUGAAAUUAAUGGUAAUCUAGAAACUCAAGCACAGACCCCAGCUCCAGUGGAAGAACAACUAGAAGAAGCUAGUCAAAAUUUAUAAUGACCUGGUCCUAGUGGUAUCAAUCUCAAAAGGCAAAAUUUGAGACACAAGUCCUCUCAUUCCCUUAAGAAUAUGACUACACCCUUGCAAACAGGAUUCUAAACAAGAGCUCAAGCCAGGAAUGCUAUGGCAUUUUCUAGCCUUUUUAUCCCAAAUUGAGCCUAAAAAUGUAAAAGAGGCCCUUAAAGAUGUUGAUUGGAUUAAUGUAAUGCAAGAAGAACUUCAUCAAUUUGAAAGAAGCAAAGUCUGGAAUUUGGUCCCCAGGCCUCUUGACAGAAUAAAUUAUAGGGACCAAAUGGGUGUACAGAAAUAAGUAAGAUGAAAAUGGAACUAUCAACGGGAAUAAGGCAAGGCUAGUUAUUCAAGGUUAUAACCAGGAAGAAAGAAUUGACUAUGAUGAGACUUUUUUCCCCUAUAGCAAGAAUAGAGGCAAUCAAAAUUCUUGUUGCAUUGGUUGCAUACAUGGAAUUCAAACUGCUUUAAAUAGAUAUCAAAAGUGCCUUCCUAAAUGGAAACCUUAAAGAAGAAGUCUAUGUCAAACAGCCUCCAAGUUUUGAACAUCAAAAUUUUCCUCAACAUGCGAUUAAAUUGGAUAAAGCUCUUUAUGGUUUAAAGCAAGAACCAAGGGCCUGGUAUGCAAGACUCUUAAAGUUUCCCUAGAAAAUGGCUUCAAAAUAGGGAAAAUAGAUAAUACUCUAUUCUUAAAGACCAUAGGUAGCGACCUAUUAAUUGUCCAGAUAUAUGUUGAUGACAUAAUCUUUAGAGCUACUUCUGAAUCCCCAUGUAAAGAAUUUUCUAAGCUAAUGGGGAGUGAAUUUGAGAUGAUUAUGAUAGGUGAAUUAUGCUUAUUCUUAGGCCUGCAGAUCAAGCAAACUUCUCAACGGAUAAUGAUUUGUCAAGAUUAGUACAUCAAGGAGCUACUAAAGAAAUAUAAUAUGGGAGAUGCCAAGACAAUUGAUACUCCAAUUGGAACCAGCUAAAAAAAGGACAAUAAUGAUUUAGGUCCUUUAGUGAAUGUAAUACCCCGUAUAUUUCUAAGCUAAAAAAUGAACCAUUGUUCGUACACAUGAAACCUCCUAUCCUGUGAUCCAUAUUGGAGUAAAUGAAUUAGGAUGAGUAUCCUAGUGGUAAUAGAGCUUAUUAUAUGUUAAGCAUGUUCAUAAGAGUCACUUAGAGUAAUCCAAGCUAAGAACUUUUGAAUCCACCAAGUUUUCGUGUGUGAUUUCAUAUAGGUCAUCUUUGAAUGAGCAUAACUUGGUUUAUAGAUGGUAUUUUGGUAGAUUUACACCCUCAAAAUUGUAAAUAAUUGAAUAAGCUUUCCAUCGAUACCAAAUUCACCUAAAACAAACAUCCGGUGAAGAGGUUAUGGCGAUUUAAAGUUUCAGCAGCGUCAUUUCAGUCAGUGGCGCGUCGCACCAUAAGCAAAAAUGACGUUUGUCAAUUUCCAGUGUCUCUCCGUGAUUCCACCGUGUUGCAGUGAGUUUUCAGGUCACAAACGGGAGGCAACGCGAUAACUCCUCAUCGCACCGGGGGCCCAAAUCGGGUAAUUUUCACAAAAAUUAAAUGAUGCAUCUAGAGGGGUAUUUGGGUUAUCUUUCCACCCCUAUAUAUAUUCUAUAAAUACGGAAUUCAGCCCUUAUUUCACCAAAACAUACUCUUUCUCUCAAAAAUCCUCCCAAGAAUACAUUAGGAUUUUCAAUUGAGGAUUCAAGUUCAAGCAAAUUUCUCCAUCAAUCAUCAAGAAUCUUCCAUCUAAGGUAUGCGUAGUGUUCAUCUAUGGAUCCAUUUCAUUUAUAGAGCUCAAGAACCAUCUUUUAAAUAUUGUAUUAUGAUUGUCUUGUUGUGAUAUGACCAUGUACAUGUUGAUGAUUGUUGUUUAAGUUUCAAGAUGAUAUCUAAAGGUGUUUUCAUAAAGUAUAUGUGUUCAUUAGUUGAAAUCCAUGAACUUUAUGUGGUUUAAAAUGGGGAAAUUCAUGAAAACACACCUAAGCUAAAAGAAUUCUUGCAAAGUGUUUGAUAAAAGUCCUAUGAUGAUAGAAUUCAUGUCCCAUGAUUUAAUAGUGCUUAAAUGACAAGUGCAUGCUCUAUGUUUUAUGAUUUCACAUAAAUUCCACGUGAUUGAUAUGCAUCAUUGUUGUGAUAUGGAUUGAGCAUGAUAUUGAAGCUAUGCAAGUAUACACAUGUUGUAUGAAUUUCCCUUCCAUAGGUAAGAUGUUGAGAACUAUGCUUAGUGUGAAAUCCCCUACUUAUGAUAUGGUGAAUUGUGGACUCCAUUUUUAUGAUCAAGUCAGUUAUGUACGUCAGUUUCCUUCCAUUGAGUCCUGGGGGCACUAGUACCCAAAAAAUAUAGUUGUGUGCCUAGAUCCAUGUCACGUUAUCAUGAUAUUCUCAGUCAAGCCAUGAUCUAUAUAACUCAAUCAGUCAUGUGGCUCAAGAAAUCUCAGAAAUCUCAUGAUCUCAAUAAAUUCUUAGAUAGUAUUACUAUUCCAUCAGUCAACAGAAGUUAGUUACUUAGUCCAUGUAUAGCCAGUUAAAUCAAGUUCAGUCUCUUCAGAUGGGAGUAGUAGUUAGCACCGAGUGAACCCAAGGAUCAAAACUCACCUGCCAGUUUCGGGUGUAACUCUUAGUAGUCAUCCUUGUGUUCUAGAACUACGCAGCCAGCGUAGGUUGAGACAUCUUAACCUACCAAAUUAAGGUUGAUGAGGUGUCUUAAUCUAUCAGUUUAGGGUUCCCACCAUUCUGAUUCAAGUACCUGCCAGCUAAGGGUCACUCACAGCUGUCCUUACCAGUGGCACGGUAUUGACACCCUUCCAGUCGGGGCAGAGAUUGGACCCCAAUCUAGCUAUAUACAUUAUUGGGGUAUGUCGGUUAAGAAACUACCUCCCAAAGUUUCAGUCCCAGUCUCAGUAAAAACACUUAGAUAGUUCUUCAGAUUUUAGUAUACCAGGACUGUCAGUUAUAGUGAAUUUAGUUACAGUAUGAAACUCAGGUAGUUCCAUCAGAUUCAAGACUGUCAAACACAGUCAUCCAUGUUAUCAAAAUUUUAGUAUCAGUCAUGUUAGAUAACAGUAACUAUGUAUUAGCGUACAUAUCCAGAUAUCAUGUAUUCAUGACUUUAGUUACUAUGUAUGCAUGUUUGUACUCUUACAUUCAUAUCAGUCAAUCAGUUAGCAUUGUUCAUGUAAGUAAACCCUUUUGCAUUUAGCCUACCUCACUCGUCUACUCAGUACUCCCAGUCGUACUGACGCAUUUACGCUAUGGUACUUUAUUUCAUGUUACACCAUAGGUUCAGAGACACGAGUUCCAGAUCAGUAGUAGCAUUCCUAUCGCAGAGUUGCAGUGAGUCCUCAUCCAUUCGAGGAUGAUAUUAUUUUAUUUCAUUCAUUAUUUCAGUUUAGUUUUGCUAGAUGGAGUUAGUUGGAGACAUGUUCCUUCAACUUCUUAUUCAGACAGUAUUUAGAGGCUUUCAGAUUUAGUUCAGAUUUUAGAUUAAGCUUUCAGUUGUUUUUGGGUAUUUGUUACCUUAUAUGGAUGUUAUUAUUUAUCAGAUAUUCUAUUCAGUUGAACCUUAUGGCCUAUUGUUCAUGUUUUCCAUAUUCUACAAGUAUAUUAUGUAGUGUACAGGUACAGAUAUCAGUCAUGGGUUAGCUUGUGGUCCCUCAUGGUCAUAAGCACUAUGUAGCGUUCCCGUUCAGCAAAUCGGGGCAUUACAAACUUGGCAUCAGAGCCUAAGGUUCAAUAGAGUCCUAGGAAGUCUGAAAACCGCAUCUAGUAGAGUCUUGUGUAUGGGUGUGUUACGCGCCACAUUUAUGUGAAAGAGGCUAUGAGAUGUCUUAGGAACAGUUUCCCCUCUUUCAGUAUUCAUGUCGUGCUAGUGAGCAUAAUCUCAAGUUAAACUCUCAGUCUAAUCCAUUCUUCUCUUAUUUCAAAAUAUGCCUCCAACGAGAAGAAACCAGUUCGCUCCUCAUCCCGGAGAUCCUUUGGGAGAACGUGUUUCUCAUGCGAAGUUUAGGGCCGCAUUCUCCACACUUGCUCAGUCUAUGGCUACCCAAAAUAAAUGACCACAAGUUAUUCCAGCCAAUCCAGUGGCCAACUCAGCCGCAGCUAGGAUUCGGGACUUCACCCGAAUGAACCCUCCAUCUUUCUUUGGGUCUAAGUCUGAUGAAGACCCUCAAGAAUUCCUUAACCAAGUCCAGAAGGUCAUAGACAUCAUGGGAGUUACUUAUUGUUAGAGUACUGAUUUAGCCACAUACCAAUUACCGGAUGCUGCUCACACUUGGUACAAAAGUGGAAGUCUGAGAGGGUAGAUGGUGCAGGUCCUAUAGAGUGGGAGAAAUUUGUCACGGCUUUCUUACAUAGAUUCUUUCCCCAAGAGCUGAGGGAGGAAAAAGUUCUUGAGUUCAUCAACCUCAGGCAGGAAAAUAUGAUGGUUAAAGAGUAUUCUCUUAGAUUUACUCAGCUAUCCAGAUAUGCCCCUCAUAUGGUUGUAGACAGCAGGGCUAAGAUGAGCAAGUUCGUGUCAGGAGUGAAUGAUAGGGUGGUAAAUAAGUAUAGGUCUGCUGAACAGUGAUAUGAAUUUAGCCAGGCUCAUGACCCAUGCUCAGCAAAUAGAGGUGUAAAAGAUUAGGACAAGGGAGAGGCAGAAUAAGAGAGCAAGAUCAGGCAGUUUUAGUUUUACUCAACCCAAAUCAGAAGGAGGAAACCGUUCACAGUUUUAUCCCAAGCUAGCAGUUCCAGCUCCUUCCUCCUCCAGUGCCCCAUUGCCAAAAUUCAAAGAUGGUAACAGAGAUCGAGCACCAGGCUCUAAGUCUCAGGGCAGUGUCAGAAGUGCCCAAACUAAUCCCCUAUGUCAGACUUGUGGUAAGAACCACAAGGGUACCUAUAGAGCUGGUAGCGAUAUUUGUUUUGGUUGUGGAAAGCCAAGCCACAGGAUUAGAGAGUGUCCGCAGUCAGGUCUAUAGGGUCAGCAGAAUCAUUUCACAGCCCAGUCCGGUCGCCUAAAUCAGCAGGGUGCCUCUUCCAGUGCUGCUGGUGGGCAAUGCCCAAAUAGACUCUAUGCUCUUCAGACCCGACAGGAUCAGGAAAAUUCUCCUAAUGUCGUUACUGGUACAUUACAGAUUUUCCAUGUUCAUGUUUACGCUUUGCUAGAUCCAGGUGCAUCCUUGUCUUUUGUUACUCCUUAUAUACCAAGCAAUUUCGAAAUUAGUACCAAAAUUUUAGAAGAGCCCUUUUCAGUCUUUACCCCAGUGGGUAAACUAUCAUAGCUCAGUGAGUAUAUAGGAACUACCCAGUUAUAAUAUUUUAGAGAUCCACAUCAGCAGAUUUCGUCGAAUUAGAGAUGACUAAUUUUUAUUUCAUAACUGAUUUUUAUUUCAUUCUCGGCAUGGAUUAGCUUCAUUCCUGCAAAAAAAGUCGAUUGCAGAAAUAGGAUAGUUCAGUUUCAGUUCCUGAAUGAACUCGUCCUAGAGUGGAAGGGUAGUACUUCAUCUUUCAGGGGUCAGCUUGUUUCCUACCUUCGGGCAAGGAAAAUAAUUUCUAAGGGAUGUGUUUAUCAUCUCAUUCAUGUUAAGGAUUCCAGUUCUAAAUCUCCUAGCUUGGAAUCAGUCCCAGUGGUUAAUGAAUAUUCAGAUGUAUUUCCUGAAGACCUUCCAGGCAUUCCUCCUGAAAGGGAAAUAGACUUCGGCAUUGAUCUUCUUCCAGACACUUAGCCUAUUUCUAUUUUGCCAUACAAAAUGGCACCAGCAGAACUCAAGGAACUAAAAGAUCAGUUGAAUGAUCUCUUAGAUAAGGGAUUCAUCAGGCCCAGUGUAUCCCCAUGGGGUGCACUAUUUUUAUUCGUGCACAAGAAAGAUGGGUCUCUUAGGAUGUGUAUUGAUUACCGCCAGCUCAACAAAGUUACGGUCAAGAAUAAGUAUCCACUUCCCAGAAUAGAUAACCUAUUUGACCAACUUUAGGGUGCCAGUUAUUUUUCCAAGAUAGACCUCAGAUCAGGCUACCAUCAGCUAAGAUUUAGAGAAUGUGACAUCCCAAAGACAGUUUUUCGUACUCGGUAUGGUCACUUUGAAUUUCAAGUCAUGUCCUUUGGUCUUACUAAUGCUCCAGCCAUUUUCAUGGACUUGAUGAACCGUGUGUUCAAGCAGUAUUUGGACAUAUUCAUCAUAGUCUUCAUACAUGAUAUCCUAGUUUAUUCUCGCAUAGAGCGUAAUCAUUCAGACCAUCUCAGAAUUAUUCUUCAGACUCUCAGAGAUCAUUAGUUAUUCGCCAAUUUCAGUAAGUGUGAGUUUUGGCUAAGAUCAAUAGCAUUCCUUGGACAUAUUAUUUUCGGUGAUGACAUUAGGGUCGAUCCUCAUAAAACCAAAGCGGUAAGAAACUGGCCUCGCCCAUUAUCUCUAUCAGAUAUUAGGAGUUUCUUGGGUUUGGCUGGCUAUUACAGAUGGUUUGUCAUGGGAUUUUAUUCUAUUGUGUCUCCCAUAUCUAGAUUGACUCAGAAGAAGGUCAAGUUUCAGUGGUCAAAUUCAUGCAAGAAGAGUUUUCAGGAAUUGAAGACUUGACUCACCUCAGCUCCAGUCUUAGCUCUUCUAGAUGGUUCAGAUGGGUUUGUAGUAUAUUGUGAUGCAUCCAGAGUAGGUUUAGGUUGUGUCCUCAUGCAGAAUGGUAAGGUCAUAGCCUACGUCUCUAGACAGUUAAAGCCCCAUGAGAAGAAUUAUCCUAUUCAUGAUCUUGAGUUAGUAGCUGUGGUAUUUGCCUUAAAUAUUUGGAGGCAUUAUUUAUAUGGAGUUCAUGUUGAUGUCUUCACAGAUCACAAGAGUCUCUAGUAUGUCUUUUCUCAGAAAGAUCUUAAUCUUCAUCAGAGAAGGUAGUUAAAGCUUUUGAAAGAUUAUAACAUGAGUUUUCUUUACCAUCCGGACAAGGACAACGUUAUGGCCGACACUUUCAGUAGACUCUCCAUGGGUAUUAUUUCUCAUGUUGAGGAUAGCAAGAAGAAGAUAGCUCAAGAGAUCCAUCAGCUUUCCAAACUAGGCGUUCACUUAGUCGACUCUUUAGAGAGUGGUGUAUGUGUUUAGAGUAGUUCAAAGUCAUCUCUCGUUUCUGAGGUGAAAGAGAAGUAAGACAGGGAUCCUAGACUUUUCAAGCUAAAAUAGUCAAUUUAGAAUCAGAAAGUAGAGGUUUUCUCCUAAGGGGGAGAUGGUGUUCUUCGUUGUUAGGGUCGUCUGUGUAUUCCAGGUGUAGAUGACUUGAGGCAGCGAAUUCUUACAGAAGCGCAUGGUGCGUGAUACUCUAUUCAUCCAGGGUCCACUAAGAUGUACCACCACUUGCAAUAGAUCUAUUAGUGGAGUAGGAUGAAGAGAGAUGUUGCGGAAUUUAUGGCUAAGUGCUCUACAUGUUAGCAAGUUAAGAUAGAGCAUUAGAAACCUAGUGGUUCCAUGUAGGAGUUCACCAUUCCUACUUGGAAGUGGGAAGAAGAGAAAAUGGACUUCGUGAUGGGUUUGCCUCGCACUCGUCAUCAGCAUGAUUCAGUUUGGGUCAUUGUAGAUAGAAUAACCAAGUCAGCUCACUUUCUUCCAGUUCGUACUUCUUAUUCAGCCGAGGAUUAUGCCAAACUCUAUAUCAGGGAGUUGGUCAGAUUACAUGGUGUUCUAUUAUCUAUCAUCUCAGACAGAGGUACCCAGUUCACCUCUAACUUCUGGAAAGCACUCCAAAAAGAUCUUGGUACCCAAGUUUAUCUCAGUACAGCAUUUCAUCCUUAGAUAGAUGGUCAAGCAGAAAGGACCAUUCAGACUCUUGAAGAUAUGCUAAGAGCGUGUGCAAUUGAUUUCAAGGGUAGUUGGGGUGACCACUUGCCUUUGAUUGAAUUUGUAUACAAUAAUAGCAGUCAUUCCAGUAUUCAAAUGGCUCCAUUCGAAGCUCUCUAUGGUAGGAGAUGUAGAUCUCUAAUUGGUUGGUUUGAAGUUAGUGAAGCCUCAGUCAUAGGUCCUGACUUGGUAUUUGAUGCCUUAGAGAAGGUUCAGUUAACAGAGAAAGACUCCGGGCUACUUAGAGCUGACAGAAGUCCUAUGCUGAUAUUCGUAGAAAGGAUCUCAAAUUCGAGGUCAAUGAUUACGUCUAUCUUAAGACCUCUCCCAUGAUGGGAGUGAAGAGGUUCGGUAAGAAAGGGAACCUCAGUCCCCGAUACGUCGAUCCCUUCAGGAUUCUCAGUCUCUUCAGCAAGGUAGCGUAUGAGCUCGAAUUACCUUCAGAUCUAGCCUCAAUUCAUCCAGUCUUCCAUGUCUCUUUUCUCAAGAAGUGCAUAGAUGACCCAACAAUUGUAGUCCCUAUUCAGAGCAUUGACAUUUAGAACAGCCUCUCUUAUGAAAGAUUCUAGUCAAAAUCUUAGACUAUCAGACUCAUAGAUUGAGGAACAAAGAAGUCCCUCUAAUCAAGGCUCUUUGGCGAAAUCAGUCUCAUGAGGGAGCUACUUGGGAAGCAGAAGUAGAUAUGCGUACCAAGUAUCCUUACCUCUUCUCCGUCAAUUCAGAUCAAGCUUAAGGUAAUAGUUCUCCUUAAGCUUAUUUAGUUUCAUGUUCAUGUUCCCAUCAUAAAACUUGGUACCUAUUACCAUUGCAUACUCAGUCAUGAAUUCAUGUAUCAGUUCAACUAUAAGAUCUUGCAUCAGCUAUGCAUUCUCAUCUUGAGAAAUUCAGUUUACUAGAUUAUUCAGUUAUGCAUUCAUGUAUCAGUUAUCCUUGCAUCAGAUAUGCAUAAGUUUAGUAUAUUUAUCAUGUUAGUCAUGAAAUUAGAUUUUAGUUAUUCAGGUUCAGUCAUGUUUAGUUUGUCUUUUAUCCCCUGUCAGUUGAUUCUCAUUCGAGGACGAAUGUUCCCAAGGGGGAGAUAUUGUAAUACCCCAAAAGUUCAGAUAUUUUUAGGAUCAUGUUUUGAACUCAUGAGUAAUAAAUUUUAGUACUUUGGUAGUUCUACGAUCAAGGUUGAUGCAUAUUAAGGCCUCAAAAGUGUCCUAGCUAAUAGACGAAUCAAAAUAAUUCCUUACUGAUUGAAUUCUUGAGAAGGAUAUUGGUAUAGUCAACUUCAAACUAGCAUAUCUCUCGUUAUGCUAUGAAUCUAUGAUCUCAUGACCCACCAACAGAUAUAUAAUUGGAUUAGCUUUCCAACAAUACCAAUUUCGUCUAAAUCUGAUAUCGGAGAAAGGGGUUAUGUCCAUUUUACUCUGGCAUGUCAGGCUGGGAAACUAAGUGACAAUAUUUGUGACAAGCCAUCACGCCCGUGAUGGCAUAUCACCAAUUUCGUCAGCCCUGGUUAGAUUUUCACCCCCAGUGACAAUAUUUUGUGACAAGCCAUCACACCUGUGACGGCCUAUCACCAAUGUCAUCAACCUUAACCAAAAAACUAAGAUUUCACCUUUUUGUGACGACAAUUCAUGACGACCUAUCACCAGUAUGACGGCUUGUCACGAAUGUCAUCAGCUAUUUUUUCCAGCAAUUGAGGGACGUUUUAGUAAGGGUAUUUUGGUUUUUUCCCUUUACUUCUCACGAUUUAUAACCCUCAAGGAGCGUAUUAUCUCCCAUCUCUUUAGUUAAACAUCUCAAAAAGCUCUCUCAUACACUCUCAACCACAAAAUUAGGGUUUUAUCUCAAGAUCAUCUCCUCAAGAGCAAGCCUAAGGAAUUCUUCAAGAACCUUUAGAAACAUUAGAUCUCUUUCAAGACUCAAUCACUAAGGUAUGCGUAGUGUUCAUCCAUGGGUCCCUUUAAUUCAUGGAGCUUAAGAAAUCAUGUUUUAAAUUAUAAAUUAUGAUUUUCUUGUCGUAUUAUGACUAUAUUCAUGUUGAUGAUAGUUGUUUGGAUUCAAGGUUGUAUCUUGACGUGUUUUCAUGAAGCAUGUGAAUAGGUUAGUUGAAACCCAUAAAUUUUGGAUGGAUUAAGAUGGUCGAAUUGAUAAAUAUACCUAUGCCUUAAAAAAGUGCAUGCAAGGUGUUUGAUAAAAUGCCUAAGGAACUAGAAAUCAUACAAUAUAGCUAAAUUGUGACUAAGUGAAGGAUUCAUGAUAUGCCCCUAUGUUCCAAUGAUUUUCAUAUUGAUAUUGUGUCUUGUAAAUGUUGUUGGGAUGUUCAUGAACUAGUCUUAUGAGAUUAUGCCAUGCUUACUUACAAAUCCUACUUAUGUACAAAAUAUAUGAUAUCCAUGCACUUCAUGGAAUUCCCCAAGUUUUGAUAUUAUGGAUUGUUGAUGUUGGUCACGUACUCAAGUCAGUUAUGUGCAUCAUUUUCCUUCCAUCGAGUCCUGGGGGUACUUAUACCCGAAAAACAUAGUUGUAUGCCUAGAGCCUUGUUAUGUUUCACGAUCUCCAAAAUCAAGCCAUGAAUCAAUAGAAAUCAGUCAGUCAUAUGACUCAGGAAAACCUCAUGAUCUCAGUCAGUUAACAGUUAUUAGAUAUCAGAAGUAUUCUAUCAGUUAAUGGAAUUCAGUAAGUUUAGUCCAUGUACAGUCAGUUACUCAUUUUCAGUCUCUUCAGAUGGGAGUGAAAGUUAGCACCGAGCGAACCCAAGGAUGGGAAUGCACCUGUUAUAUGAGGGUGUGAUUCUUAGCAGUCAUCCUUGAAUUCCAAAACUAUGUAGCUAUCAUAGGUUGAGACAUCGCAGCUUGUUAUAUAAGGGUAGAUGAGGUGGUUUAACCUGUUAUAUGAAGGUUCCCACCAUUCUCACUAGAGUUACCUUUUAUAUGAGGGUUGCUCACACAUUGUCCUUAUCAGUGGCGCGGUAUUGACACCCUUCCAGUCAAGGAAGAGAUUGAACCCUGGCUUAGCCAUAAUGGCACAUAUGGGGCAUGUCAGUUAAACAACUACCUCCCAUAGUUUCAGCAUCAGUCUCAGUAAAAGAACUUAGAUAGUUCUUCAGAUUUCAGCAUAUCAGGACUGUUAGAUACAGUCAAUUUAAUUACAGUAUGGAACUCAGAUAGUUCCAUCAGAUUCAGGACUGUCUGAUAGAGUCACCCAUGUUAUCAGAACUACAGUAUCAGUCAUGAUUAGUUAUCAGUAAACUAUGUAUUAGCGUACAGAUUUAGCUAUCAUGCAUUCACAAUCUCAGUUAUUAUGCAUGCAUGUUUGCACUCUUAUGUUCAUAUCAGUCAGUCAGUUAGCAUUGCUCAUGCAUGUAAACCCUUUUGCAUUUACCCUACCUCACUCGUAUACUUAGUAUAUCCCCAUGUACUAAUGCAUUUGCACUAUACUGCUUUCUUUUCAUGUUACACCAUUGGUCCAGAGACACAAGCUCCAGAUCCGCAGUAGCAGUAGCAUUCCAGUAUACAGAGUUGCAAUGAGUCCUCUUCAUUCGAGGACAAUAUGAUUUGAUUUAUUUAUUAUCUCAGUUAACUUUCAGUUUUAUAGAGUUAGUUAGAGACAUAUUCAUCCAUCUCCUUAUUCAGACAGUACUUAGAGGCUUUCAGAUUUAGUUCAGAUUUGUAUUCAGUUUUGAUUUAGAUUUAGUUGUUUUGGGUAUUCGUUACCCCACAUGGAUGUUAUUUUUUGAUAGAUUCUUUAUUCAGUUGAACCUUAUGGCCUAUUGUUUAUGUUUUUCAUAUUCUUUAUGUAUAUUAUGCAGUGUAAAGGUGCAGAUAUCAAUCAUAGGUUAGCUUGUGGUCCUUCGGGGUCAUAGGCACCGUGUAGCAUUCCAGUUUAGAAAAUUGGAGUGUUACAUUUGAUUAGGAGCAGACAAAGUUGAAUUUGGUGACCUGUAGCUCCUAUUUUUCAUCCAUGAACAGUAGCUACAUUUCUAGUAGUUUUGCUCCUUUAUUUCUCUAGUUUUUUUGUGUUGUGGUUUAUGUAUUGUUGCUCGUUGUUUGGUACUUGUUUGGUGUCUAUUUUUUAGGACAUUAUUGUAACUCCUGGUAAUUAUAGUGGAGGUUUUGGUCCCGUAGUUUUUUACUCUUUACUUCGAAGGGUUCUUUACGUAAAUUUGGUGUCCCGUGUGAUUGGUUUUAUUAUUGUCUUAUCGUAAUUAUUUGGUUGAUUUAUUUGCUGCGUUAUUACCAUUGUGCUUGGGUUUGGUUGUUUCCUCUUAAUUCAAAUUGAAAGGAAAAAUUUAGACUUGGGUAUUCUUUUACAGCUAUCGUGUCAUGCACUUUAACAGUGCCUUGUCUUUUCUAACACCCACCUCGCUACCCUCCAAAAAAAUGUAAGUCCUAUUCCUAUAUUGGGGUCAUUGAUGCAUAAAGUUUCUUUUUGUAUGUAGAGAGGGUGGUAAUUUCCUACUGCAGGUUAAAUUAUUGUUUCAUUCUGCAUCCCCACCUUAAUUUUUUUUCAAAUUGCAUCUUGGCUUAGCUUUGUCAGCCAAUACCAGGACAACAUAUUUUUUAGGCUGCCUAUAGCUCAAUUUUUAGACUUCCUUUUUCUUUCUAGUUCAUAUGGUUAUUGCUUUGCUAAUUCUAUGCCUUUUAUUAAAUAAUAACCUUGUUAGCUAGUGCACUUUCAUGUGUUAUUUUUGAUUUAUUUGUGAGUGUGUUCAGAUACUUGAUUUACUUACCUAAAGUUCUUCUGGUUACCAAAUCUUACUUCCAACUCCAAUCCAGUUUCAACCUUAUGAAUGUAUCUUGACUUGAGAAUUUAGUCCCUUGUAUGAACUAGUGUUGUGGUCUCAAGGCUGUAAAUCCAUCCCAAUAUUCUCGGUAUGCUAUAAAACUAACAUAUUUAGGGUUGUAAAUUUUAAGUUUGCAAGGGAAAUAAUGAAUGAGGAUGAUCUAAUUUGUGUUUCUAUUUGUUGAUACUUUAGAUGCAUGUUCAACUUUCAGCUUCCAGACUAAUGGAGGAAAUAGAACCGGAGGGUAAGAACAACAUUUUUCUAACAUCAAACCAGCCAAUAAGAUUGAAAAUUCUUUUUAAUAUUGCAAAUGGUGGGUUGAACCUCUUAUCUUCUUAAAUUAUUUCAUUCUGCCUAACCUAAUGUAGGUCCUACUAGCUGAGUUUGAGUUUUAGAUUUUUACUAAAAUAUUUAAUCCUGAGUGGCCACUUGUUUCUCUCUGUCUAUAUGACUAAUUAAGUGACGUAUAUUUUUUAAUUGUAAUCAAUUUGUGAAUCUGAACUGUUUUUUCAACACCCUUAUAGUCAUACAAUUAUCUAAAAAUAGAGGAGAUGUUAAAAAUUUUAUUGCAUUUAAUAGUGUGAUUUCCUUGUAUUUCAAUUCUCCUUUGACAGGUAUGUUCACACUCGCAGCAUCUUAUAUUUCUCUCCUAUUUUCUAUUCCCCUAUCCUAGUUUAUAAAGGUUAUAGUCAUUCCUAUUUGAAUUUACCAAAAUUGUACUAGGCACACGUGUCAUAUGCCCCCUUAGCUAGUUUCUCUAAGAUUUAAACUUAAAUUUGCUUGAUGUUGGCCUAACAGAUCUUCAUGUUACAUAAGAACAGAUGAUACUAAGACCAAAGUUCAAGAAGUGCAUAAUUAGUUCCAUUUUCUAGAAAUCUAGAAGUUAUGAUGCCAGAGUUAUGGUAUAAAAUGUUUUUAUUCUUUAUUUCCUCUAGUACUUUUUUUCUUCUGAGAACAAUACUAUGAUUUGUUGAAACGCGUGAUUUAUUACAAGUUACAGAUAUUUAUGUGACUAUAAAUAAUUAAUCAUUUCACUAAUGGUUAUCUAGACAUUGAUUUUAAUUUCAAGAUAAAACUCAAGGAAGGGGGAUUGUACUUCCAAGUAUCUUUGAUUGUUGGCUGGAAUUCUUUAAUUACUGAGGCAAGGUUCUGUUCAUGACAUAGUUCCUUAUCUGUUGAAUUAAUCUAUAUAAACUCAGAUGAUGCAUCCUUUUAUCAAUGAAUAAAGUAGGGUCAUGCUUAAAUUCUUUUAUGUUUUCCGCGCGUAGUUUAUUUGACCUUUUCAUUGCUCCUUUUUGGGCCUAAAUUUUUGAAAUUUAAGCAUGUUUGUUGCUUAAAUUUUUGGAUGUUUUUUUCAUGUAGUUUGUUUUACCUUUUCAUUGUUCCUUCAUGGACUUCUGGUUCUGAUCACAUUCUUGCUUUUAUCUUUCUUGUUUUGCAAUGCUAGAGUUUGGUUGAGGUAAAGGAUAAGAAAGUGAAGGAGUUGUUGCAGUCAAUUUUACUCCACAAAGCAAAAUGGGAAAGAUGCUAAUGGCUAAAUAUAAGACAUUGUUUGAGGAAAAUGAAGAGAUUGAAACCAGGCUAAUGAAGGAAAGGUAUUAAAUGAUUUUCUUCAUCAGUGAUGUGUAAAAUAUAAAAUUCUUUAGUUCAAAACUGUCAAUUAAAAAGAAAUUCUUUUUAGCUACAACUGAAUGUAGAGAUGGAAGAGACUAGUCUAUUCUUGGUUACCUAAUUGCCUGUCUAGCUUGUUUUUUUAGGUUUAUUAAAUUUAUUAUGGUUUCUCUAAAGGUGAUGAAUAUGAGAUAUUACAGAAGUUUCGUUUCUUUCUUCAUUUGCAGAUGCAUGAAUUAUCAAUGAAACUAGGUCUGGCUUUGCAGAUAUCUCAGAAUGCUCAACUCAAAAGUCAAUUUGAAGGUUAAUCUUCUCUCCCGUUGCUUUAUUAAAUACACCUCUAUUUUCUUUUUAACUUGUCUAGGAAUUUUUUGUUGCUGCUAGUUUUAUUGUGCUCGUCUGUAAUACCAUUAUUUUAUGAGAAAAUAUUCUCCAUAAUUUUUUUGGGGGUCAUUAACUAAUGUUUUUCCAUGGUAAAUGUAUUGCCUCAAAAGAUCAUUUUCAUUAUGAGUUUUUUAGUAUUUGGUUGGAUACGGAGAUAGCAGAGAAAAUUGAAGGAAAGGUGUCUUUUAAGUCUUCAAUGAAGGAUUGGUGACAUUAAUCAACUUAAAGGGUCAAACAUCAUUAGAAACUUGAUUAAGUUAAUUGUAGAUUUGAUUAAUAUUUUCAAAACUUUCUAAUCUUUUCAAAAAUACAAAUCAACCCAACCCACACCCCUCUUCAAUCCAAAUCAACCAGUCUCUCUCCUCUCUCUCUACAGCUUCUCUUAACUCUCUCCCAACCAACAGUUUGCAAAUUCUCCUUUCAAUCCUCAGUGAUUUCAACCUCCGAUGAUAAAUAGUUAGCUUCGAGUUCUUUUUCAACUUAAUUCAACCUUUAAUCGACGUGACAGCCUUGCUCUCCAGCCACAACAACUUUAAAUUUUUCAUCGUUCCUUUUCUUCUUUCACAGGUUAAAAUUUAUGGCCUUUUUAGUUUUGAAGAAAAUGAGGAACUUGAGCCAACUUCUCUUACAGUAUUGGUUAACAAUUUCAAUAUUUAUUGCUUUAAUUUGAAAUGCGAUCUGAAUAAAAUCCUAAUUUCUGGUAUUCUUCUCUUAUCUUUUCAAAGUGAAUUAUGAUUUUUUGUUGUUUGUUGAAUUUUUUUGAAGUUUAAUUUUCGUUGUUUAUGUUUAUACAAUUAAAACAAUGAUUUGGGUCAAUUUGUUCUGUUCUUAUUCAUGGUAAAAAUGGUGAUAUUCUUGUUUUCUGUUGAACAAAAUAAUGCUACUAUUUUUUUUCAACAGAUUAUUCAUCUGGUGCAACAUAUUAACCAUCUGAUGCAAUAGAUUUUUCAUAUGAUGCAACAGAUCAAUCAUCUGAUGCAACAGAGGAAUCAUAAGAUUAAAAUUCUGAUGCAACAGAGGAACCAUCAAAUAAAAAAUCUAAUGCAAUAGGUUUAUCAUAUGAUACAAUAGUUUAAUUAUUUGAUGCAAUAGAUUAACCAUAUGUUGCAACAGAUUAACCAUCUGAUGCAAUAAAUUUACUAUCGAAUGCAACAGAGGAACUAUCAGAUAAAAAAUUUGAUUCAAUGAUUAACUAUCUGAUGUAAUGGAGGAACCAUCGAAUUACAGAUCUGAUGCAACAGAUGAAUCUCCUGUUGGAUAAAAUCCUAUCAACUCUUCCAACAAGACAAGCCCAAUAAUUAAUUUUUUUCAACUGAUCAUUCAUCUGCCACGAUAGACGACCCUUCUGUUGGAAGAAAUAUAAACAAUAUUGACCAUUGAUAACUGUUCUAACAUAUCACUCAUAUGUUGCAACAUAUGUACGACCUAUUGUAUAGACCAUUCAUCUUUCUCUACAGAUGAGUGAUAUGUUUUAUAUUAUCACAACAGAUUACUCAAUUAUUGUUGCAGGUUAGUUAACUGUUUUGACAGAUCACUCAUAUGUUACAACAGAUAUGUGAUCUGUUGCACAAACCAUUCAUCCUUCUCAACAGAUGAGUGAUAUAUUUUUGUAUUGUCGUAAUAGAUUACUCAGCCAUUGCUACAGGCUAUUUAAUUAUUCUAACAGAACACUCAUAUAUUGUAAUAGAUGAUAUUGCAACAGAUGUGUGACCUGCUGCACAGACCAUUUAUUUUUCUCAAUAAAUGAGUGAUAUAUUUUCUAUUAUUGCAACAGAUUACUCAUCCAUUGCAACAAGUUAUUUAACUGCUCCAACAGAUCACUCAUAUAUUGCAAUAAUAUGUGAUCUGUUGCACAGACCAUUCAUCUGUCUUAAAAGAUGAGUGUUACAUUUUGUAUUAUUACAACAGAUUACUCAUCCGCUGCAACAGGUUAGUUAUAUAUUGCAACAGAUAUACUACCUGGUGCAACAGAUUAGUGAUCUAUUGGAACUGUUAUUUUACUAUUUUGCGUGUUAGAUUUACUAUUAUCUUUUUUUUAAUGAUGCAUUAAUCAACUAUAAUAUAUUUUUUUAUGUUCUUUUUAAUUUUAGAUAAUAUGGCUCCCAAAAGAACAAAAACUGAAUCAAAUUCAAGUAAAGGAACAAGUGAAGCAGCUAGGCUACAUCUACCACUCUAUGAGCUUGCUUUACAAGCAUUAUCUUUAUCAGGAGCAGAAUAUGAUGAACAUGGGGGGGGGGGAGUAAUGUUUCAAAAGAGAUGAUCCAAAUGCUAAUAGCUCUUCUACCGAAGAGUUGGUCAAAAUUUUCAGCAUUGAUCAUUACUCUGUGAGAAUGCAGUAUGAUGGUGCAACAGAUUUAACGAGUGAUUUCAUGGUUAAAUCAGUCAUGGAAAAAUCUUUCGACGUCUUCACAAAAAUACUUUGAGAACAAAAAUUGAAUGCUUAUUUCAGGGACAACAAUGCUCAUUUUCAAAUAAAAAUGGUAUAUGAACUUCUCAAGCAUAGGUUUAUGUAUGAAAACAAAGAUAAGAUGGAUGAGGUAUGGAAAAAUUACUGUGGCAUGCCUGUUUGUUUUGGUUGGAAGGAGUUUGUCAUAGUUACUGGAUUAAAAUAUUAUCCUCUUUCUCAAGUUAUACCUAUUCUAACCCAAAAAAGUACCCCACACACCCAAAAAAGGCAAAGGCAAGUCGUGUAAUCGUGAUGACCUGGUGUCCAUUGUUGGUCCAAGAUUCAAAAACAAAAAUUUGAUAAAAGUGUUAAAAGAUAAAGGACUUUCAAAGAAGCACAAGCAGUCAUUAUGCUUGGUUUGGUUUGUAUAUAAUAUUCUUGGGAGAGAGAUAUUAACAACAACAUAAGCGUCGAUUUAAUAAAGCUCUACGAGGAUCUUGAGACAUUUAACAGCUAUCCUUGGGGUUAUGAAAGCUUCAAAAUGAUUGUCAAAUAUUUGUUGACUCUGUUAGCUCCAAAAACAGUCAACUUAUAUGGCUUUCAAUGGGUUUUCCAUGGACUUUCAUGGUAAAUGUUUUUUUUUUUUAAUUAUGAUAUCAUUUAUUUUUUUACUCAUAAUGGCUUUGAUUAUUGACGUUAUUUUAUAGGCUUGGGCAUUUGAAGCCAUUUCUUAUUUGAGACAACAAGUGAACUACCAGGAAGAAGUUUCCUGUCCAAGAAUCUUGAGAUGUUUAUCGGCCAAAACUGAUAAAAAUGUAAAAUUUCUUGAUCUCUUCAUCCCCUCAAAGGAUGCAGUAAGUAUACUUAUAAUUAAGUUUUUUUUUAAUUAAUGAUUUUUUUGAAUGAUCUAAUCAUCAUUCUAAUAUAUGUAAUGAUUUAUGUUAGAUUGUGCAUCCGUCACUAGUUCCGACCAAUCGAGAGUUGAAGAUGUCAUUUUUUCUUAUUUUAAGGUCUGUGAAAACUUUAUCGGACCCUAAGUUCAUUGACAAAAUAAAAAUGGAAUUGUUUGGAGUGAAAACCAUUACAAGAAAAAUCAUUUUGGAGGGUGGGCUUGUUGUUUUUUAUGGUCUUAGUGGUGAUGGAGCUGUUGGUGGUGGUAGUGGUGCUGCUGUUGGUACUAAAGAUACUCCCCUUACAAUAUUUAAAAUAAAUCAUUAUGAGUAUGAUCAUGCUAGUUAUACAGAUUUUGCCCCUCCCAGUGAAUAUUCUGCAUGCAAAUGUCAAGACUGCAGGGUUAAACAUGAUGUAGUGAUUAAUGCUAUUAAUGUAUUAACUGCUUCUGUAAAGAAUUGAUAUCUAAGAGGGAUGUCAUUCCAUCAAAGAGGAUUUAAUAUCCAUCCACUCCAUUAGAGAUUAAGGCUAAGAGGAGAAGGAAAGUGAUUUUCAAUGCAUUAUCAAGUAUCCAAAAAAAGAAAAAUGCAACUCCUCUGUUCGUGUGUUGCACUAAGCAAUGUACAAUGUCCAAAGAAGAGCAGCACGAGCUAAAGAAGGUGAAUGUAUAUGUCUAUUCCAAUUAACAAACAGACACAUAUCUCUUUCAACAGAUGACACAUCUGCUGAAAAUUAUCAAACAGAUAUAUAUAUAUUUAUUGCAACAGUUGACUAACUUGUUGCACCAAAUAAAGUAUUUAUUGCGAAACAUGUCUCAUCUAUUUUAGAAAAUCAAAUAGCUCUUCGUACUUCUUUUAUUUGUACUAACAGAUGAUCUAUCUGCUGUAACAGAUGAGUCAUAUAUUACAACAGAUGGUUCAUCCGUUGAAAAUUAUCAUACAGGUCUUUCUCAUGUAGAAAUUUGUUCCAAUAGUUAAUUCAUUGUUGCAACAGAAAUAUAAUCUAUUUGGGACAAUUUAAAAUAGGAGAAAGACAUGUUUGAUUUGCUAGAACAGCUGAGUUAUUCUUUUCUAUUUUGUUGUAUCUUCAUGAUUAGUAUUGAUCAAUUCUGGCUUUCGAGGUGGAUGUAGAAGCUACUGCUGAACAGCAUUGAUAAUAUACUACUCUUUUUAUGGAAAUACAGAGAACAAAAAAUGCAGAAACCAUACAUAAGAGACAAUAAAGAUCCACGAAGACCAAAGCCGAAUUCCAUAGCACUUGAUGAAGAACAACGUGUCUAUAUUGAGUAGAUCUUUAUAGCUUGAGUCUGUCAAAGUAAUAACCUGACCCCUCUUUAGGAAUCCUUGGCACCAAUACUUAAAUUAUUUAUGUAUUUGUUUAGAUCUGUACCCAUAAUAAUUUUUUUUUUUUGCAUUUCAUUUAUUCGUUGAUUUAUUUCAGCUAAUUUUUGAACUCUUCAAUUUAUUUUAUUUUGUCUAUGAAUUUUAUUUUUUCCUUAGAUUUGAACUUAUUAAUUGAAAUGAAAUACUAAAUUCAAAUAUUGCAACAGAUAAUGUAUCUGUUGUAACAAACGACACAUCUGUUAGAAAAUAUCAAAUAGAUUUAGAUAUAUAAUGCAACAGGUAGUUAAUCUAUUGGAAUUUAUCAAACAGGCCUUUCCAUUGUUGCAACAGAUAGACUUAGACAGAAAUAUCGACAUAAUACAAAAGAUGACCAACCUAUUGCAACAGAUAAACUAUAUGUCAGAACAGGUAGAAUAUCUGUUACAACGGAUGGAAAAUCUGUUGUAUUAUAAAAUUCAACUUUCAUUGGACAUAAAUAAUUGCCACUAGAUGUAAAAAAGUGAAAGUGAAUUGAAAUAAAAAAGGCGGAACCCAUCAACAGUGUUCAGUUCAAAACACCUAAAAUAAAAUAGGUAUCAAGUAGACAGUAUUUAUUUUAAACACGUAAAAUAAAAUAGACAUCAAAUGUGUCAGUUUGGUACUUUUUACCCUAGUGGCUGCUUGCAUGUAAUUCACGUAGCCAAGGCUCGUUGAACCCCCAUUUUUGCUGACUUGGCGUCUGAUUUGGACCCCAACGGUCAUUUUUUUUUCCCAUUGUCUUAUAUAUUCAUCUUCUUCCUAAAAUUUAACUCUAAAUUCCCAAAUCCUAUUCUUCGUCAUUAUCUUUUUUUAUCUAUCCAAAUUCUUUAAGUUAUUUGUAUUUGGUCUUUAUUUUCAUCUUUUUUUUUAUUUUUUCCAACCGAGCUUCACAAUGUCGAGUGCAUCUUCCACUAUUUUUUUUGAAAAAGAUUUUAACUAUUGUAAGUCCGGUCAUGAAGCUCUAUUAAAGACUUCUUGGACUCAACAAAAUCCAGGUCGUAGGUUUUUACUAGUAAAAUUUCAACGGUAUAUUUUUUUAUUUAAUUAGUUGAUUAAUUAUUGAUUUGUAAUUAUUUUGUAAUUGUGCUCUUAUUUUUAUAGACAUUGGGUGGAUGCAAUUACUUUGAUUGGUAAGAAGAACGACACCCUUCACAAGAAAAUUGUGUAAUCAGGAGUUUGUUGAACAAAGUCAAGGCUUCUGAAGAGAAAAAAAAUCAAGAAGAAGAUGGUACAUUGUUGUCGUUACUGCUACUUGUUUGGUGUUGUUAGGAACAUAGAUAUUCAAACCUAAUUACUGGAAUUUUCAUGGUGGUGUAUUUGUUACUGGUUUGGUGUUGUCGAGCACAUGGAUAUUCAAGCGUAAUUUUUGGAAAAUAUCAAACAGAUUUAGGCAUAUGUUGUAAAAUUUAGGUCAUUUUUUGAAAGUUAUCAAAUACGUCUUCCCACUGUUGCAAUAGAUUAGAUAGAAAUAACAUCCGCAUAAUCCAAUAUAUGACCAACCUGUUACAACAGAUAAACUAUCUACCAGAAUAGAUAGAAUAUAUUUUACAACAGAUUGACAAUCUAUUGGAUUAUAAAAAACGCAACUUUCAUCAGAAAAAAAUUAUCACUACAUGUACAUGUAAUUUAAAGUAAAAAGUGAAGUGUGACUUGAAAUAAAAAUUGUUAUUUCACAGGCUCUUCUAUAUACACAGGCUCCAAGCGUCCAGUUAGUACCCCAUAAUCCCAGACCUCUUGCAGGUUUGCCACAGCAUUGUCGCACAGAAAGGUCGUUGGCUCGGCCAUUUCUAUGUCGGUCAGCAAAUAUUCGGUGUGUGCAAGAGCAUGCGAUCCUAACGCAUAAUCGAUAUCAUUUUUAGAAGGUUUAUACCCUUGUUUCGACCUUCAAAAUACCAUAAUUUCUUCAUUAACACUUCCUUUGGAAAAUGAUUCAUCAGUUUAAUAUCCCUCAAUAAGAUGGGGAACAGCUCCAUCAGUGGCUGCACAUGGAAAAAAAGACGGACCUCGUCGAUGGCAGGUAGGUUGCAAUCAUAAACUUUGACCUUUCCCUCCUCGAGUAGUAUCUUAAUAGCUCGAUAAUGUAUGUCGUCCAUGCUAAUGACUGCAAUAAUCCUCUUUGCCUCGGUCCAUCUCUUGCUGUGUGGAUUUGGCCUCUCCCCUAUAACAUAUUUUAUUAUUUCUUCUUCAUCCCAGUCCAACGUAGAAACUAAGAAAUCAAAUCCCGUGCCACAGUCUAACACAGCAUUAUUGAGUUGAUCGUACUUAUCCGUGAGCUUAUUGCAGAAGUCAAGGUCUAUUAUCCUAUCGGCAGCGUCAUAAGCUUUCGGGUACUUUAAUUGUCUUUUCCUCAUGAGGCAGAAAAUUUUAUCAACAUGCUGUGAUAUAAGAAGUCAAUUUUUAAAUAGGUUAGUAAUUGUAAAGAUGCAACAUAUGGUCCAUCUGUUCCAUAGGGUUCUCUGAAUCAAUAAUCCAACUCAAGUUACGCAAUAGAUGGAUAAUAAGUUGUAAUAAAACCACUACCAGUUGCACUAAAAUACCCAGCUGUUGCAACAGAUUUCACAUCUGUUGUGUAGCUUCUUCUUUAUGGGGUAGAUUAGAAGCCUAGGUUAGGAAAAGUAAACUUGCCUUGUCCUCCUACCGCAUACACAUAUCUGUCAUAAUCUGGAAGUCCUGGGGUGAAAAGGGAGGCCUGGGGUAAUCUGGUGCGCGUGGCUUAGCAUUCUUGGCCUGUCACAGAUACCUAUUCUCUUUGGUGCCAAUUUCCAUGUAUAUAUCCACCUUCUUGAAUAUCCCCUGAACUUCAACAGCUUUUGGAGAGGGAGGAGUUGCAAUUUUUUUUAUUUUCGAUCGAAGAGUACGUCGCUAAUUGCUCUUUUCUUCCUUCUAACCGCCGUUGUAGGAGUGUAUGGCUCCCUCACCUUAUUAGAUGGUAUGACACCCCUCUUGGAUUUGAAUUCCUCAACAACUUUAGAGAUAACCUCUACUUUUUCAUAGAGUUUAUCCUGGUUGUCCUUGUAAUCUUUGCAUUCGCAACGAGAACACGAGGGUGAAGAGGGGUAAGAGGGACCUGUGUAAGGGUGAAAAGGGGUGUUUUCAAAUAUAUUUAUUUUUUCUUAAGCAUUAACAUGCUCAUCAUCAUGAGUGGUAGCAUCAUCAUCAUGCCUGCCACCAACACCAACAACUCCACCAAAAAAAGUACCCGAAUCUGCCUUAGUAGGUUGGUCAUGAAGAGCCUCAACAUUAGGCUGACCUUGCCUAACUAUUUUUCUUAUGAUUGUUGCUCUAGCCAAUUCUUUCUUUAUUAAAUCCACCGUUGGGUCUACUAUAGUAUCAACAUGAGCUAGAGUAAUAUAAGAAGUCAUCACCGACUCCCGCUCAGUAGACACGAUCCAUGGAUGCACAACCUAUAAAAAAGGACAAAUACAUUUAACUCAUAUAAUAUAAUAAUUUUCACGGUUUGGUUAUACACAGUCAACUUCUGCAACAGAUUAAUAAUAUGUUGCAUCAAAUUACCCAUUGUUGCAUAGUUUGCAUUAGAUGGUUAAAAUUUGUUUGAGUCGGGUUCAAAAAACCAGAGAACUACAUGGAUAAUCUGAUGCAAAAUAUCAACCAUCUGUCGAAAUAGAUUACCAAUCUGUUGCACCAGUUGCACAAGAUGGGUAAUCUAUUGGGUUACAUAUUAUGUAACAGAUGAUCUGUAUGUCACAACAGAUUAAUAAUAUGUUACAUCAGAUUAUACAUCAGUUGUAUAAUUUGUAGUAGAUGGUUAAUCUGUUAGGAGUCGGGUUCAGAGAACCAAAGCAAUAGAUAGGUAAUCAAAUACAAGAUAUCAAUUGUAUGUCACAAUAAAUUAUCCAUCUGUUACACCAGUCGGCACAGGAUGGGUAAUCUUUCACAACAGAUGUCCCAUCUAGUACAUCAGAUAUAACAUCUGUUGUACCAGAUAUAACAUUUGUUUACUAUCUUUCAUUGAGUAAAAUUAUUUUACUUGAAGAAAAUGUACUGUAUCAUCCAGAGGGUUAAAAAGAUCAGCCUCCUUAAUUUUGGUGUUGUUCUUUGCAGCCAACCACCUAAACAUUCUUGGAUGAGAAACCUCAUCCGGGUAAUCUAUUACCUGCUUUCGGAGGGGAGGAAUGGCUUCAAAUGCCCAAGCCUAAAAAAUAUAAACAGGAAGCAAGCAAAAACAAGUCAUAAUAACUAUAUUCAAUAUAAAUUAAUGGAUUAGUAAAAAUAGUGAUUAAUUUUACCAUGAAAGCCCAAGGAAAGCCAUAUAAUGUGGCUGUCCCUAAGGAUAGAUUUGUCAAUAAAUAUUGGAUAGUCAAGUAGAAGUUGUCAUAUCCUCAGGGAUAAUUGUUGAAUUUAUCAAAAUCCUUAGCACGCGCCAACAAAUCAUCUUCUAUGAUCUUGUUUACGUCUCUUGCCAAUAUAACCAAAUGGGAAAACCAAAGUAAGCACAAUUUCUCCCUGUACUGCUUUGGUAUGGUUUUAUCCAUGAGAUCUGUCGAUAAAUCCGAUGCUUUAUAGCCACGUCGAGCAAUGUCAAAUAACCCAUCUAUAUUUUUCUUGCAUUUUCUUGCCUUGAAUCUUUUAUGGGGUGUUCCCUUGGUGAUAGGUGGUUCUUCUGGAUGAUGGGAUCUCAAACCCAUCACUACGGCAAACUCUUGCAAGCCAAAACAAAUCGGCAUGCCACAGUAGUUGAUCCAUAUUUUAUCCAUCUUUUUGCCUAUCUUCUUUGAAUCUUUAUCAACCCUCCACGUACUUGAUACUGCGCUUGAGAAGACCAUAUACCAUUCUCAUAUGGAAACGGGCAGAGGGGUCCUCAGGCAGCUCAAGAAAGCAUCCAAAGCAGCUCUUAUUAAAAAGUCCAUCUAUGUUUUCUUUCUUCAUAAUUUUCCUAAAUUAAAUAAAAUUUCUCCCUAUCUGAUAUUUAAGUACAAGUUCACCAGUUAGUUCUUCUUCUGCUUUUGGGUUAUUUAUCGGUAUCGCAACUUGAAACCUGUCAAAACUAAAAGUUUAGACAGGAUCAUGCUGGGAUGUCGAUAUUAAUUCACGCCCCAUUGGUGAUCCAUUAUCAUCAUGUUGAUGAUCAUCCUCUUUCUCUUUAUCACUCUCUAAUUCUUGCUCUUUCUCACUUUCAUUUUCUUCAACACCAUUUACAGACCCUUGUCCACCUCCCUCAAUGUUAUUUUUAUAUCUCUCCUCAGCUUCACUUUUUCCUGACUGAGAUUGUUAGGAAGCUCCUCCGAAUCCCUCUGUGCCUUUUUUUGGGUGGUCAGACGUUGAUCCACUUUCCCUUUCUUUUCUUUUGGUAGACAUGUUUUACCUACAAACAACAGAAAAACAAAAAUUAUAUCACAAUUGAUGUAUGCAUAAAUUUUAAAAAAUACAUAACAAACACCACCAAUAUCGACACACCAACAGCCAUCACCACCACAAACACCACAAACCAAUGCCACAAACAUCAUGAAUACUAACACUACCUACAGCCACCACAAAGACCACCAACUAAUGCCACCACAAAACCACCAACCAAUGCCACCAACAGCCACCAACAGUACCACCACGAUGACUACCAACACUACCACCACCAACAAGAACACCACAAAUACCAUCCAAUAAUACCACGACAGUCAACGGAAUACUACGAUAGAAACCAGGGUUUUCUCAAUUUCUUCCUACAAUUUUACCACCAACACUCAAAAUUGUAAAUCCAUUCUCAAAGAUAAUACAACUAAAACUUUUGUUUUUCAUCAUUAACUUAAAAUCCCUUAUUUUUUAGAAAAAAAUAAAAAAUAUAGAACUCUUCUUGAACUCUGCUACCUAUGAAGACAGAGAAAACGACUGAUACAAAAAAGAAUGAAGUCAAAAACAACACGUAUGUGGUCGAAAAUGUGAAGAAAAUUGAUCUGUUGUGAAGGGUAAAGUAAUUUGUUGAGUAGUUAUUGUCUGUACUGUAUAAUUGAGUGAGAAAGAGAAAAUAGAGAGAACUCGAGAUUUGAAAUGAUGAAAUAUUUUUCUCGCAAAUGGAUGAUUUGUAUAGGUUGAUUUGUAUUUUGAAAAAGAAUGACAAGUUUUGAAAAUAUUAAUUUGGUACGAAUUGAUCUUAAUUAUUUUUUAAAAUUAUAAAAGAUAUGCAUAAUUUUUAACCCUCUCAUCAUGCAAUUGCCAAAAGACUCGAUUGAAGUUGUAGUUGACCCUAUGAACUCACACCUGGUCCUAGAUUAAUCAAUUAGGUAUUAGACUCUAACAUAUUAACUCAAUUGAAAUUUUAUAAAAACAAAUGUUCAACUUGUUGAAUCAGAUUACGCAUCUGUUGUAAAUUAUCAAUUAGAUUAAGUUAUUUGUUGCAACAGAUUAUGCAUCUAUUAUAAGUAAUCAAACAGAUUAAGUAAUCUAUUGCGACAUAUUAUCCAUCUAUUGUAAAUUAUCAAAUGGAUUGUAAUAUGUUACAACAGAUUACCCAUCUGUUGUAAAUUAUCAAAUAGGCGCUGCCAUCUAUUGUAGUUGACCCUAUGAUAACUUAUCCAUAGUCCUAGAUUAAUCAAUUAUGGUAUUAGUUGAACAUAUAAGGUAGUAAGAAUUGAUUUAGCUCAGAGUGAUCGAUCGACGACUCUAGUCGGGAGGAACACAAUACCGUCUCAUCAUGCAAUUGCUAAAAGACUCAAUUGAAGUUGUAGUUGACCCUAUGAGAACUCACCCCUGGUCCUAGAUUAAAGAAUUAAGGUAUUAGUCUAACAUAUAAAAUCAAUUAAAAUUGUAUUAAAAAUAAUGUUCUACCUAUUGUAACAGAUUAAUCAUUGGUUGUAAAUUAUCAAACAGAUUAAGUCCUUUGUUGCAACAGAUUACGUAUCUGUUGUAAAUUAUCAAACAAAUUAAGUCAUCUGUUGUGACAGAUUACCCAUCUGUUAUAAAUUAUCAAAUAAAUUAAGUCAUAUAUCACAAUAGAUUACCCAUCUGUUGUAAAUUAUCAAAUAGGAGCUGCCAUCUAUUAUAGUUGACCCUAUAAGAACUCACCCCUAGUCCUAGAUUAAUAAAUUAAGGUAUUAGUCUAACAUAUGAGGUAGUAACAAUUGGUUCAUCUCAGAGUGAUCGAUCGAUGACUCUGGUUGGGAGGAAUGCAAUAUCGUCUCAUCGUGCGAUUUCCAAAAGACUCAAUUGAAGUUAUAGUUAACCCUAUGAGAACUUACCCUGGUCCUAGAUUAAUAAAUUAAGGUAUCAGUUAAAUAUAUGAGGUAUUAAGAAUAGUCUCAGUUUAGAGUGAUCGAUCGAUGACUUUGGACGGGAGGAACGCAAUACUAUCUCAUCAUGUCAUUACGAAAAGACUUAAUUAAAUUUAUAGUUGACCCUAUGAGAACUUACCCCUAGUCCUAGAUUAAUCAAUUAAGGUAUUAGUAUAACAUAUAAGGUAAUAAGAAUUGGUUCAUCUCAGAGUGAUCGAUCGACGACUCUGGUCAGGAGGAACACAAUACUCUCUCAUCAUACAAUUGCCAAAAGAUUCAAUUAAAGUUGUAGUUGACCCUAUGAGAACUCAUCCCUGGUCCUAGAUUAAUCAAUUAAGGUAUUAGUCUAAUAUAUAAAAUCAUUUGAAAUUGUAUAAAAAUAAAUGUUCAACCUGUUGCAACAGAUUAACCAUCUGUUGUAAAUUAUCAAACAGAUUAAGUCAUUUAUUAUAAUAGAUUACGCAUCUGUUGUAAAUACUCAAACAAAAUAAGUCAUCUGUUGCGACAGAUUACCCAUAUAUUGUAAAUUAUCAAAUGGAUUAAGUCAUUUGUCACAAUAGAUUACCCAUCUAUUGUAAACUAUCAAAUAGGCACUGUCAUCUGUUGUAGUUGACCCUAUGAGAACUCAACCCUGGUCCUAGAUUAAUCAAUUAAGGUAUAAUUCUAACAUAUGAGGUAGUAAGAAUUUGUUCAGCUCAGAGUGAUCGAUCGACAACUCUGGUUGGGAGGAACGCAAUAUCGUCUCAUCAUGCAAUUUUUGAAAGACUCAAUUAAAGUUUUAGUUAACCCUAUGAGAAUGCACCCCUAGUCCUAGAUUAAUCAAUUAAGAUAUUAGUUAAACAUAUAAGGUAGUAAGAAUCGGUUCAGCUCAGAGUGAUCGAUCGAUGACUCUGAUCAGGAGAAACACAAUACCGUCUCAUAAUGCAAUUUCCAAAAGACUUAAUUGAAGUUGUAGUUGACCCUAUAAGUGUAACAACCCAAGACAACCCCCUAAUCGUUACACAGUGCUUACAGUCCCGAGGGACCACAAACUAACCCAUGAGCUGGUACCUGCUGUGAGCACUGAAUAACAUGAUCAUAAAUGCGAAAUAAUACUGACAUGCCAUAAGGUUUUAAUAACUGAAUUUAAAACUGAAAUAUGAGUCUAUAUAAAUAAUUGACAGAAGUUGGUAAAAUAAAUAUAAACAGUAUCACUAACUGUAAUAUCUAAAUACUGAAUAACUGACUCUAAUGUCUGAAAAAGCCACUAUAACAGACUGACUGAAUAUGAGUUGAUGGGACAGGUCCUAACUAACUCCAACUAACUACUAACUAAGACAUGAAAUAAAGUAAGCCUGUCCUCAAAAUAUGAGGACUCACCACUACUACUGCUGAGAAUCUGAUAAGUCUACUCAUGAGUUAGGAACUGAACGUCAGAACCUAUGAUAUAAUACAUCAUAGCCAAAAAGAAAAGGUAUGCAAUCAGUACUUUGAAUGUACUAGUAUGCUAAAUGAGGUAGGCUGAUAUGCAUGGUUUUAUGAACACAACUAAUGAUUAACUGGAUAUCCAUGUAAAGCAUAGAGUACUAAGUAGAGAACAUGGAAUCUGCAGAUAUUGAUAAUGCAUGGAAAUCUAUAAAUACUGAGGAUGCAUGACCAAGCAUAUAACAUAACUGAGUAAGAUCUGUAAACUAAAAUACUGAGAAAACUAAAAUUUAUAUGCUUCAAUCAAGCAACACUAAGAUUGAAUAACUGAACUGGGACUGUAACUGAGACUAUAUCUGAGACUGUAGAAGGUAUUAUCUAACCCACAUUCCCCAAUUUGAGCUAAUCGGUGUCCAACCUGUAACCCCGGCUGAAAGGGUGUUAAUACCAUGCCACGGGUACUAACAAAGGUUGUGUGGAUCCACUAAAAUAAUAUAAUGUUCAAAGGACUAAGGGGUCAAACCUGAACUGACGGGUGACCCCUGCGAGAUAGUCAAGCCUAAUUUGAUGGGUGACUACUCAUAUUCUAUAUUUCUACGUAGUUCUGGAGUAUAGGGACUGCUACUAACGACUCUGCCUAUCUGAAGGGAAAGCUGCCAUCCCUACAGUCGCUCGGUGAUAAAUCCUACUCCCAACUAAAAGACACUGGGGUACUAGACUGUUUUGAGUUGAAUAACUAAUAGCUGACUAUUCUGAUAAUGCUCAUAAUUUAAUUUGAAGACUAUUUUGUAAUAUACUGAGGCUAGACUAAAUAAAUAACUAUGGUUUUUGGGUAUUCAAUACCCCUAAGACUCAAAGCAACAAUAAUGAAAGGAUACUAAAGCUUGAAGGUCAAAACAUGAAGGCUCUUAAUAAAUAAAUCUCUCUUGCAGGUAUUUUAUCAAACACUUGUAGUUCAUGGUUUUAAAAAAAAUCAUAAGAAUGUCAUGGAACUUGUAGAAAUAGCAUGAAUUCAUCAUAAUAGCAUAAAUCAUGGUUUAAUUUAGUAAAUCAUAAUAUUAAAAGAUUGAAGAUUGAAUAAUAACAACAAUUUCAUGGUAACAUGAUAUAGAAUCAUAGUUCAUGGAGAUUUGUAGAUGAAAUCAUAAUUUAAAACAUGGUAACUUGAAAAGAUCAUAAUUUUAUAAUUUGAAAAGGUUGCUUGGACUCCAUGGAUGAAAGGGAUCCAUCGAUGAACAUUUAACAUACCUGGGUUAAUAAAUUUGAAGAGAUGAAUGGAGAGUUCUUGAGAAAUUGCCUUGAAUUUGAGAGCUAGGGUUUCUUGUUCUUGGAAGAGGGAUUUUUUAUUAUGAGAGAAAUUGAAAUAAUAAUGACUACUUAGGGUGUUUAGGGUUAAAUUUCAUGUUUUAGGUUAAUUAGGGCCGUGGAAAAAGACCCAAAUACCCUUAAACGAAUUUAGAAAUAGAAGCUGAAAACUACCCAUCCUGAUUUUUGGCCUUAGCGCAAUGCGCCACUAUCGCGCCAAGCCACUGGAAAAGGGAUAAUUGGGACCUGGACAGACGGCGCGAGGUGCCACCAUCGCGGUAAUCCUGUGGAUGCCAUUUUGGUCACCUCUGUGACGCACCAUGAUCACGGAGGCCUACUGAAAAUUGACAAACGAGAAAUUGGCUUGCUCCGUAAUGCGCCGUGAUCAUAAAGUCACACUGGAAAUUGACAAUUUUCAUUUGGACUAUCUACGCGAUGUGCUGAGGAUUAAAAUGAUGGUGUUUAAUGACUGAAACUUAAAAUUGCCAUAACUUCUUACCCGGUUAUCAAAUUUGGGCAAAUUUUAUAUCGUUAGAAAGCUAACUGAAUUUCCUAUACAACGGAAUGCUCUAAACUGAAAAAUAUUGAGUGUUUAAAAAAUCUUAUGUACGAAUACUCAUGUAUUGGGACUUAGAUUAUGCUAGGGAAAUACGAGGUAUUAUAAUGAGCUUCAAAUGUGGAAGUGUAUCCAAAUAUAAAAAUCCGUCAGUCGUUGAAGAAAAAUAAGAAUGGUCAAGAGGACUGGAGCUGGUCACUUUUCUAGAGACUGAAACUAGCGAGCAUGGCCUCAUUGAAGAUCCACAAUCUAUAGGACCAGAACUCUAAGGAAAUAGCUUCACGAGCACAGAAGGUGGUUAGAUUGUAGGUUAGAAUUGAAACCUGAACCAACUACUCCUGAAUUAAAAAUACGGGAUCAAGCCAAGGUGGCAAUUUCUCAAGUUAAACUUGCAUCUCAUGCCUCCUAUUUAUGGCUCUGGUCAGUUCAAAGGUAGUGGAUACAACAAGGCAAGGGAUUUCUGCCCAACUUCAGACCUUUUUGUUGCUACUUUCAUUGACCUGAUCAUAGCCACAAAAAGAAGGCAUGGAAUGGAAGUUAGACUUCAGAAAUUAAUACCUUGGCUUCCCUUAUUUUUAAUUCAGGAGUUGUUGGUUCAGGUUCAAUUCUGACCGACAAUCAUACCAAUUUUCUGUGCUCUCGAAGCUUCUUCCUUAGAGUUUUAGUCCUGCACUUUGUGAGAUUCUUCAUUGAGGCGACACUUGCUAGUUGCAUUCUUGACCAAAGUGUUCAGCUCCAGUCCUAUUGACCAUUCUUCUUUUUCUUUAACAACUGACGAAUUUUUAUAUUUGGAUACACUUCCACAUUUUUAGCUCAUCCAGUUUUUUCAUUUCUCAUGUCAAUUUCAUUGGCCAGAUUCGCUAGAAGUUCUUUACUUGCUUUCCUAUAUUUCCUCUUAAAUAAGGUUUGAAAUGAUAUAUGGCCUUCUCCACCUCCUCCUUCCCGCACAGGUAUUCUCCCAAGCACCUUCUGCUGUAUAAAAGUCUCCUCCAGCAAUCCAUCCAUAUAAAUUUGGACUAGGAAAAUUUCUAUUGGUUCCAUCGUUGUUUGCUAUAGUUCAAGGUUUCAGAGCCCUUUCAAGAAGUCCAUUGCGCCAUUAAAACCGGUCUAAUCACUAUUGGAUAUUUAUACUGCCACCAAAAGCUUGAACCCUUUCCCAAACUUGACACAAAAACAUGAGCAUAGACCAUCAUUAAAUUGUAAUAGGGUAUCGACACCACCAUCUUAGAACCCUUCGACCUUAUCAAUUUGUACCUAUCAAACUAAACUGUACAAUGCAGGAUCUUGUUUGAAGGAUCAGUGUCUAAUCGGUAAAAAACUGCAUUUAUAAAAUCAUUGUACUUUAUGUCUGUCUCUCACAGUAGCCUGAUCAAUAAUACAUAAAUCCCACGUAUGAAAGUGGAUCCAUUACACACACCUUAUUCUUUCUACCCCAUCAAGACAUGUCAGAUAAUGUUGUUUAUUUAUCUGCACGCAUGUGAUGACUAUUAAAAAAGAGGUGUGAAGAGUCAUGACUUUUUAUCUUAACACAUUCAAAAUAGUUGAUGAAUCAAAAUCUUCAUCUAUUGUGACUGAUGAAUCAGUUGUUGGAAGAAAUCAAAAUAUCUCCUCCAACGUAUGGUCCAUCUGUCGCAAUAGAUAAUCCGUAUGUUGCAACAGAUAUUAAAUCUGUUGCGAUAGACCAGACAUUGUUUAUUCAUCUGCAGGUAUGUGAUGACUAUUAAAAGAGAGGUAAAGAGUCAUGACUUUUUAUCUAACACAUUCAAAACAGAUGAUGAACUAAAUUCUCCAUCUAUUGCAACUAAUGAAUUAGCUGUUAGCAGAAAUCAAAACAUCCCUUCCAAUAUAUGGUCCAUCUGUCGCAAUAGAUAAUCUAUAUAUUGCAACAGAUGUUGCAACAGAUGGUAAAUCUGUUGUGAUAGACCAGACAGUGUUUAUUAUUUUACACGUAUGUGAUGACUAUUAAAAAAGAGGUAGUCAUGACUUUUUAUCCAACACAUUCAAAAUAGCUGAUGAAUCAAAUUCUCUAUCUGUUGUAACUAAUGAAUCAUUUGUUAGAAGAAAUCAAAACAUCUCCAAAAGAUGGUCUAUCUAUCACAACAGAUAAUACAUAUGUUGCAACAGAUGUCUCACCUAUUGCACAUACAAACCAUCUAUUGCAAUAGAUGGUAAAUCUAUUUUGACAGACCAUCUAUUACACAUACAGAUAAUCUAUUGCAACAGAUGGUAAAUCUGUUGUGACAGAUGGUUGAUCUGCUGCAACAGCUUAAUAAUAACUGAUGUUAUCAAGUCUCAAAACCAUUUUGAAAAGGUGAAAAGUAUUAAUGUAAAAGAAAAAGUCGUGACUCUUUCCAGAAAACAAAAUGCCACCAGUUUGAAUGGAAUUAAUACAAUGGAGCUUUAAAGUCGUGCCUUUUGUUCUGACACAUCCAGAUUCAAUCCUUUAUAAAUAGGUCCCUCCUUAAUCUUCAUUCUACUAAACUUUAUUUAUUUAUUGCAUUAUUUCUUUUCAUGUGACAUUUUCAACCAUUUUUUUUCAAAGAGCAUAUUUCUUUCUCGUUGAGGUAAGUUUUUUUUGGUAUAAAUCUACCAGUUGGUAGUAUACAUUGUAUUAUAUUUAGACUCUUUUUCUUUAUAUUUGUCAAUUCAUGUGUAUUCUAGAUAUGGUUGAUCCUAUUUGGGACAUUGCUAUUUUGCGCGACACAAUGCAGGAACUUCAGAUACAGGUCAAUGACCUACAGAGGAAUUUGGUCGCCGUGAGAGCGAUGAUGUUCAAAGAGAUCCAGAGACUGAUGAGGGCCCUGCUGCCACGAGUUGAUUGGUCGACUAUCAUUAAUGAUGAUGAUGAUAAUAAUAAUAAUUAAAAUUAUUUUUUCUUUUUUCUUUUAGCAUAUAUACUUUAAUUUUUCCAUAUCGGAUCUAUACCUAAUGUAUUUUAUUUUUUGUUUAAUUAAAAUUUUAUUUUUAGUCGACUUGAGCUUUUUAAUUCUUAUUCAAUUUUCAUUCUAUCUACUUCUUUUAAACAUACAUAUUAAUGUAAACAUAUCGACGGUUGGAGGUAAGGAGCAAUUUUGAAUCCAAUAGCAAUAGCAAUUUUGGCUUUUAAGUUCUUUCAACAGAUGGACCAUAUGUUGGAACAGAUUGGUCAUCUGUUGGGUUUCUAUCAACAGAUUAUCCAUCUAUUGCAACAGAUUUGUCAUCUUUUGGAGAAAAUAUUCUAAUUUGAUGGAACUACAUUGUGUUCUUCCAGCUAAUGUCUAUCUGUUGCCACAGAUGGUUAAUCUAUUGAGAAUAAUUGUGAUCUGCUAUAUUAUUUAGUUCAUGUUUUUCCUUUUUUAUUGAUGCAAAAGUUAUUAAAAAAGAUAUUUUAUAUAUAAUAAAUAAUAACAUUACAUUCACAACAAUGAGUUAAAUAUAUAAAAGUCCACAACAAACAACAACACAAGUUUCUGCAAUUACAACGAUCAUGGUGGAUUACGAUCAAGGCAUGUAGUUCUAUUGUGGCCAGUGCACUUACAUACGGAGCACUUGUUUCUUCUUGAUGAAAAUGAUUCUCCGACUCCACGCCUCCUCUUAUAUGGAUUUCUUCUUGGUUUGAUAGUGCUUGGAUCAAUAUAUGGAGGAGAUAUUAAUCUCCCUAAAAUCUCUGCAGGAACAACCCAAGAUUCUUCGGGAGGCCCCAGAGUAAUAUGCACACUAUAUGCCAUUUCAUAUUCUUCUAUCGAAUAAUAUUGAGAGGAGUGCUCAUAAACUUUAGGUCCAUAUAUUAGACCAUAUUGAGCUCGAAGCGCUGCCAUGGCAAGUGGACAGGGUAUUUUAUCCAAGUCAAAAACUCUGCACGUAUAAGAUCUUGUUUGAAGAUCGACUGUGGCAACAUCACCAUGAUCGGUGAUACUGAAUUUGUAAUCUGCUAUUUUAUGAUAUAAUAACCUAUUGCCCAAACUGAUAUUCAUUGAUAUUAUUUUUUCGAUUUUAAGAACAAAUCGGAUUCAUUUUGAGCCCUUGACUGCACACGCCUUUCAUUAAAAAAUUGGCCAUACUUCUUGUUUAUUACUUUAAACAUAGCCUUGAUAGAAAAUUCUCUUUCAUCGCCAAACAAUGAAUUCGCUGAUUCGGCUAUGUUUGAUGUCAUAAUAUUGUACCUAUACAAAAGAAUCACUUAGUACGACAUCAUACUAAACUUGUAACUCAAAUAAGACAUUAAAUUCAUAAGAAUGUACCUAUCUGCCAGAUAGAAUGCCCGACUCCAUCUCUCGAAACUGACACAUACGAUAAGUUCUGCUACCUUGGGAUUUACAUCCAUUAUUUGAUUAAAAUGGUCCAAAAACUCCUCUCUACUAUAUGCUUUAGUUGCUCUAUAAAAAAGGGCACGACUCUUUCGUUGUGAUAGUUGGUCCGAAUAUUCUCUCCAAGAUGUCUGAUGCAACAACUAAAGUAAGCUCAAGUGAAGAAAAUUGAACCCAUCUUUGGAAUACUUGGAUGCCUAUCCAAAACAAAACAUAACUCUUCGGUAUCUUCGACGCAGCUCUGUAGUUGUUCAAAAAAAAUCCAUAAGAGGCAUCGCAUUCCUUGUUCGCUACACAAAAAGUGACAGGAAAGAUGUGAUUCUCCGCAUCCUGCGCCACCACCGCUAGAAGAACUCCAUUAUACCUACUCCUCAAGAAGGUACUAUCGACUGCUAUGCCUUUUCUCAAAUAUCAAAAACCUUGAAUCCAAGAACCAUAUGAUACAAAAAAGUACUUGAACCUUCCAUUUUCAUCAGCAUGCAAUGUCGUCUUACUUCUGGGAUUUGUGGACUCAAUCAUAUAAUGGUAGGCCUCAUGGACUGCAUACCCAUGCUCGUGUGUCCCCCUAACCAAGUCCUUAGCAAUCUCCAUGGCAGUAUAUAUCUUCUAAUAACUAACCAAGACACCCAAUUCCGUAAGAAUUUGAUUGGCCAUAACCCUUGUUGAAGGGCCUUUGCUUUCGGGGAAACUACUCUUGAAAUAUUCACCGAGGACUUUUAUCGUGGCAUGAGGAUUUUGGCCUAAGAUGUGCUCUGGACCACAUGUGUAAUUCUUUUCAUGUUUAUGAAUGACGAAUCUGUCAGAACUUACGUACUUCACCGCUCUCAACCACCACUUGCAGUUUGGAUUAGCACAUUUGAAGAAAAAGACACUGCUCGAAUUAAUCACCUUCUUUAUUCUGAAAUAUUUUUUCAAGCAAGAAAUAAACAAAGUGGUAGAUAGUUCAUUCUUGUCCUUGAAUGACAUUCCAAUAAAAAAGCCAGUUCUGUUGUUUUGAAGAUUUUCAGAUUGUGUCGAUUGAGAAGAACUACCCAUCGUAUUGGUCGCAUCAACGGGCAUAGGUGUUUAAUCAUCAUCUGGAAUAUUCAUGUCUAGAUCAUCCGACCUAUCAUCAAAGAUGUCUUGUUGUUUUUCUUCUUCUACAUUCUGGUUCUCAUUCUCUCUCGUCUUUUCAACCACGUAUAGCCUUAACACCGGUCUGGAUGAAUCUCUAAGAUAAGCACGCAACCGACCCUGAUCAGUUAUCUUAAAAGGCAGUACCCUCUGAUUUUCAAAGGAGUUGUGCAUGUAGUUGAUGAUGAGUUCUUCUGAUUAACAAUUCAGUCCAUAAUAACUGACAAUUAAGUUCACAAAAUCAUCAUACGAAACAUCACUUUGGACUAUCAUAGCUAUCAUCUCUAACAUUUCACCCUCAUUCCAACGUCAUACAUAUCGAUUGCUCUUCUCGAUCUAUUGACCAUGACGAUUCACCCCUAUUAUUAUUGAUCCCUCCAUUAGCGGUACAUAAAUAAAGUCAUUUAUUAAAAAAAGUUAAUAGUAAUUUCAUAGUGUCGUAAAUGAAUUCCAACAAAUGUGUAAUCAAUCACAACAGAUUAUUUACCUGUUGGGAUUCAUGUUACGCUCCUGGAGUUGAUUUUAACAGAUGAGUCAUUUGUUGUAAUAGGUGAAUUAUAUGUUGCAACAGACUAUAUAUAUGUUGCAAUAGAUAAAGCGCCUGUUGGGAUUAAUGUUACAGUACUGAGGUGCCUUUGAAGCUGAUUUCAACAGAUGAGUGACAUGUUACAACAGAUAAUUAAUCUAUUACGACAAAUGACUUACCUAUUGCAACAGACGAUGAUUUAUUGGAAUCAAUGUCAGGUCCUAUCACAACAGGUCACUAAUAUGUUGCAAUAGAUAUUUACCGUCUGUUGGAAUCGAGUUCAGGUUUUGUUGCAACAGGUUAAUAAUCUGUUGCAAUAGAUAUUUACCCUGUUGCAACAGAUAACACAUCUAUUGGAAUUGAUUUUAGGUUCUGUUGCAAUAGGUUACUAAUCUGUUGCAACAGAUUUUUAUCAUGUUGCACCAGAUAACUAAUUUGUUGCAACAAAUAGGUCAUAUGUUGCAAUAGAUGACCCGUUUAUUUGAUUCAUGUUACACUAUAGAACCAUAAACAUGAAUCCAACAGAUGAGUCUUUCUUUGAAAUAGAUCUGUUUAAAUAGAUAGCUCUUAUGUUGCAUUUAUGUUCGUGUGCUAUUUAUUGUUGAAAAAACAGCACAAUAGCAGUUACCUAGAUGACAAAUUCAACUAAAAAUCAUAAUUUGACUUACCAAAAUCUCCUAUGAAGUAAUGUCAAAGUGGAAAGUGAUGUAUGAAAUAAAAUUUGACCUAAGAAAUUGGUCAAAUAGCAACAGUAACAGUAACAACAACAACAAUGACAAUGGUCAACAAGAAGAAUAUGAAGAUGAUAAUGAAGCAGAAGAUGAUGAAUAAAGCAGCAGCAACAAUGAACAACAAAAAUCGCUAAGAGAGAGAAAACAACGAUGAAUGAGAAGAGAGAGAAAGGCAUUUUUUUCUCCUCCAUUUCUCGUUAUAUUAGGUAAAUAUUUGGAUCAAAGUGUAAAUUUAAAAACUUUUGGGCUAUUCUCAAACUUACCAAACUUUCUUAAUCCAUAAUAAAGUAAUUGUCACCUCCACUCAAUAAUUAAGACUUGUUUCACCUACACUUCAUUUUAAAACUCUUUUGUCACCUACAUCCCAAAACCCCGAGAUAGCAGAUAUACUGUUUGAGAUAAUUUGGUAAAAUCAUAAUGAACUUGUUAUAUCAUAGAUUUGUGAAAAGGGUUCUUUCCAUUGCAAGAGUAUAACUUAAAUAGAUUGAGUAACUUACAUAAAUAUAAGUAUAUAUAACUUAGAUAGAUUGGGUAACUCACAUAUAUAUCAAACAUUAAGGUGCUAAUAAUUUGUUUUCACAAUUUUUUCUAAUUACUUAAUAUACCACUUUUUACAUUUUUUUAAUACAUAUAUUUGGUCUUGAUACAUAUGCGUUUUGAUACAUUUGAAAAAAAAAUUGUUAGCUAAAUAAGGAAAUAACAAAAUCUUCUUAAAUUAGGAAAGUAAAUCACGUUUCAUCAGUUUUGGAAGCACAAUAAAUGUAACGGUUAACAGAAAAUCAAAAUAUUCAUCUCUUCAAAUAAUGCUCGAUUGAAAACUGCAAUUUUAACACAAAUUCUUCAUCAUUUUUUUUCUUCUUCAUCUCAAUUGCACCUUGAACGUGGUAACAAAACUUUAAAAUUUUCAAUUAAUACAUAUGACAGGUUGCUAAAAUCUGAACAUUUUUAUACUUAUAUUAGUUGAUAAUUUUGAUACAUUGUUGUCCCUAAUUAAGUGCUUUUGAUAAUCUAUUCUUCGUACUAAUAUUUGUUGCAUUUAUUAGAUUUGAUACAUUUCAAGUAUGAUAUGUGAAUUUGAUACAUUUGAGACACUAUGAUAGGAUUUCACUGCCAUGUGUUUAUAUAACAUAAAUUUUUUUAUAUAUGUACUUGAUUCAUUUGUUUUGUAUUAGUGUAUUUGGCCUUAAUACAUAUAAUAUUUUGUGUCGAUUUGGUCAUGACACAUAUAAUAUUUGGCCUUGAUACAUAUAGUAUUUUGCCUUGGUACAUAUCAGAGUAUAGUAUAAUGUAAUGUGUCUGGCCUAAAACCUAACAAUGUUCUUAUCAAUUUGGGUAACAUCCAAACUGAAUGAUGGUAAAUUAUCGAAAUCCAUAAAAAUCAAAAAAUAAAUUAAAAAAAAUCAAAGAAUCAAAAGUACCCAGAAUAAAAUUCACCACUUCACCACUUGAAGAACCAAUAAUGUUCUUAUCAAUGUGGGUAACACACAAACUUAAUGAUGGUAAAUUAUUGGAAUCCAUAAGAAUUAAAAAAAAAAAAAAAGACACAAAAAAUGUGUUUUUAAACUAAAAUAAAGUAAUCUUUCUUAAAAUCAACUUCAGCAUUCCACUCACCUCUCGAAAAAUGAGAAAUUCUUUUCAACAAAUUGACUUGAAUGUCGUUUGCAGUAGAUGGAUGAUGGAGAUAAUUGAUUGAAACUCAAAUUUGGAGAGAAGUUAUCGAUUAAUUUGGGUGAAAAUUUUUAAAAAUGGAAAGGAGAGAUUUGGGGCUAAGAAGUAGGAGUUUGUGCAGUUUUGGGAGUGAAAAUAUAUGUAUCAAGGAUAAAAAUUCAAUAAGUGGUAUAUUAUGAAAUAUUUUAAAAGAUGUGAGAUUUUUAGAAAUAAUGAUGCUUAAGUUUGAUUAUUUAUGUAAUUUAUCCUAGAUUAAAACAAGCAUAAUUGAACCGAAUUUAGGACGUUUGUAAAAGGAAAUUACUUAAUUGCCUUUGCCAAAAAAAAAAAAGGAAAUAACUUCCGCGUCGUACUAAACGUGUCUGAAAAUUAAGUUUGAUUGUGCAUUUAAAUUGUGGCGGAAGGAAAAGGAACUUAUAUAUAAAACAACAUAUAGAAACUUCAAUUAAAAACAAUCCUCUCAAAAUACAAAAAUUAAGUUCCCCUUAACAAGAUCCUCCAAAAAAUCCAAGUGAAAAUAUUAUCCAAAUACAGGCAAGGAAUGGGCCAUUACCAUCAUCCUAAGCUAAAGAAAGAGAUAGCAAUUCAUACAUAUAGAGGCAAAUUAAACAAAUUAAAACAAAUGAUGCUGGAUGAAAAGAGAGUUCUACAUUAGAAAGCAGAGCAAACUCCAUCCUAAGACCAAGCUUUCCACAACCAUUGUUGACAACUUCAGGCCCUCCACUCCACUCUGCAAAUCAAACAUGCUUCCAAAUAUUAAGAAAUGACUAUAACAAAUAAUUUUUUAAAAAAAGAGUUACUAAUUAAAUAGGAUCACUGGCUUAUAAAUGUAAAGCAACAUAGGAAACAAAGAAAAUCAUAAAAGUAAAGGAAUAUAGGAAACAAAGAAAACCCAAACAAACUGCAAUCCUUCUAAACCCACAAGCCUUAAUUUUUUAGUAUACAUCCUCAGAUUUAUAAUGAAGAUUAAGAACUUCUCAAUCAAAGCAUAGUUAGGGGAAAUGCCUUCUUUUUAAUAGAAAAAAAAAAAACUAAACAGUCAUUUGGCUUGAAGGGCCGUUUCGUUUGAUUUGCCGACAAAGUUAUGCGAAAAUUGAAAUACAUAGGAUUAAUUAAUAAACACUUGAUUAUUCCAGUUUAAAAAAAUAAACACUUGAUUAUUAGAGUAUAAUAUAAAAUUUUUAUAAUUUUAUACUUGUUUUUGAAGUAACUGACAAUAGAAAGAUUGUAAAGUCAAUUGUUAUUUGGUCUUCUAGAGGUAUUUAAUGCCUGUAAAGCGAAAUCCACUUAUAAGUUUAUCUCAUGUUGAAUUAGUAUAUAAAUAAUGUAUUAGAUUUGUGAUUUAAGUCCUGUACAGCAAAAUGUUAAUGAAUGCAAUAUAAAACAAUGUCUAAUUUGAUACCCAAAAUUUAUCCUCUCUAAUACUGGUAAUCGAACAAAUUCCGAUAUCCAAGAUCCUCAUCAAACACAUUCAGAUCUGUAGUAUAUCAAUGUGAAUUUAAUCAACAAAUUACAACUGCAGUCAGUGAAAUAAUAAAUCGUGGCACAUAUAUAACGAUCCAAAUCAAUUCAAGGUAGCGCAAUGGGUGUGGGUGUAUAUGAGCUGUUUACUCUAUUAGUAGUACACACAAUAUAUAUUCUUUCUUCCACCAAACAGCUAAUUAUAAUUAACGUUGACAUAGAUCUCAGGACAUCAACCAUGUUGACACCAAAGCUCAUUAAACUGGAUACUAAACUACCAAUACACAAAAAAGAAAAAAAAAACUCUUUAAAAAUUGAUUUACUAACUUAUUAUUACACUGAUGAGGUUUAUUUUUAUUACUUCCUCCGUUUAAAAAAGAAUGAUCUAUUGUCAUUUUUAAUCUGUUUCAAAAAGAAUGACUCCUUUCCUUUUUUGGCAAUACUUUAGUUUCAACUUUCCACAUGGCUUGUUUAUGAUCAUAGGAUUAAAGGGCAUUUUAGUACAUUUGACACUACUUUAAUUUAAGAUCACAAGAUUCAAAAAUUUCUUUAUUUUUUUAAACUUUGUGUCAAGUCAAAGUAGAUAAUUCGUUUUUAAACGGAGGGAGUAGUUGUAUUAGAUUACAUCUACAUCAUAUCUUUAUCUAGGUAUGACUAUCAUUUUUGGUUACAAAUAAUUACUCACUAUACUAAAUUGUCUAAUUUAGAAAUAUAUUUAAUUAGAGCUAGCACAUAUCUAAAAUUAAACGUAUUUAAAGCAUGCAGUCAGACCAUAAAUCCAACAUACAGGAUCCUAACUAACUACUGUCUUAUAUUAUAUGAUCUUUAAUUUUACAUUAUAGAAUCACCUCUAACUUUAAAUGAUUAACAAAGAAAAGUAAAAUUUGCAUGUACCUGAUCAGUAGCUGAAGGAGCUGGAGAUAAAGCUCCAAGACUCGGGGCUAGGGCCGGAGCUCCAUUGGGAGGUAAGGGAGAACUCAAGCCCAAAGGAGAUGGUGCCGGAGAAGUUAAUUUCUUUGCAGGAGCCGGAGCAGGAGUUGAUGCAAGUGGUGCAGGAGAAGGCGCUGCCGGAGGAGGUGGAGGGGUAGCGGGUGGAGGUGGAGAGUUCACUUGCGGAGGAGGAGAAGCAGGAGGAGUGGGAGGUGGUGUAGAUGAAACGACCGGUGGUGGUGAAGCAGUUGGUGGUGGCUGAGCCGGUGGCGUUUGAGUGUUAACUGGAGGAGGAGAACUAUUGGGUGUUGGUGGAGCUUGGUUCGUGGGUGUUGGUGGUGCCUGGGUAGUGGGUGUAGGAGGAGCUUGGUUCGUGGGUGUUGGUGGUGCCUGGGUAGUGGGUGUAGGUGGUGCUUGGGUAGUAGGGGGUGUAGGAGGAGCUUGGUUAGUGGGUGUUGGUGGUGCCUGGUUAGUGGGUGUAGGUGGUGCUUGGGUAGUAGGGGGUGUUGGUGGUGCUUGAGUAGGUGUUGGUGGUCCUGGAGGUGCUUGACCACCAACUCCAGCUAUGAUAAUGCAGAUCAUAAAUCCCAACGAAACAGCAUUAUUCCUAUCCAUCAUUUUGACAAUAUAAUGGAGAGGAGGAAAUUGAA